rnacentral:lncRNA from 1 species
UCAAGGAAAAAUAUCUUAUCCAACUUUGGAUAGACCUGUGGGAGAUAAAAUCUCAAGUGGUUCAGCAUGGAGAGGUACUUGGGGUUACGAUACUUUAGGUUUGAAGAACCCGCAGAGAGAGUGGUGGGGCGGUCAGCUUUGAAAUAAUACUCUUUCAUGGCUGCAGACUCAAGUUGCCGUAAAACAGGACAGUAUGAUGAGUUCAACCACUUAAAUUCAUCUACGUUCUCAACAUGGAUGGUGGCCUUCCCAGGAGGGUUCAGCAAAAACCACAUGUUCAUGGCUCCAAAGUUCAACUUAUCAGUCACAAGAUGGAAAACAUGCUUCUCAGGCUCCUGAAAAGAUUAUGCCAUAGAUAGCUGUUAGAACAAUUAUCACACUUUGCACUUGAUUAAAAAGGAAGACGAAACUACCUUAGCAUUCAUGAUGGUUGAGUUCACAACAGAUGCUGCCAAGACAUUGUCUGAGAAAAGUGCAUAAUGGUAGAGCUCUGGAUUUUCCAAGUUCUCGCUCCUCGGGAACUUCCUUUUCUCCAACGGGAGGAGAUAGUAAUCUAUUGUUAAGCGCAUCGACAAACAAUGAAUGCUGUUUGGAAUUGUCUUCGCAGCCAACUGGCUAAGAAAUGUACUCUGCUUCUUCAAGCUCCUGACUUGUUCAUCUGCUGACUGAAGCAUAGCUCUAAGUCUCUGAGUAACCGCCUUGCAAUCAUACACAUCUUCUCUAGCCUUGGAUAGAAGUUGACCCAUUACUCUGACUUUCUCAGGUGCACUGCAAAGUACAUUAUUUGUCAUGAUAGAGAACAAGAUGAGAUAUAAAAAUAUGACGUGAAAAUAGGCACAAACCUAUGAUGAAGGUCAGAAUCAGCAGUAGCCUCUCCAACAGCCCGCUGGCUUUCCUUGAUCCUGGUUUGCAGCUCUUGAUAAAGAUCAUUCUUGUUCUUUGAUUUAGCAAGCACAGAAUAAACACGUGCCAUAAUAAUCUGGUCUCUCAUCAAUCUAACUGUCAAAUCUGAGUUCUCAUUCUCAUUCUCCUUUCUCCAAAUGCUGUAUUUCCCAAGGACAGCAGAAUCUUUGAUCGAUCAAUAGCAGCAUUCUCCAGCUUAACACGUGCUUCAUCAUCUUUCCUUACAAAUCCAUUGCCCUCUUUUCACGCCUUUUCUCCCUUAGUUUCUUUAGUGACCAAACAGUAUCAAGGGAUGAAUGAUGUCAUAAUGCAUACGAUAGAAACAAAUAACAAUGCAUCAAUGUACAUACAAGAAGAUCAGCAUUCUUACCCUUCGAACAUUUUUUGCAGCCGUGUCGACUUGAUGUUCAUCUGCACAGACAAGAAGUUUAUUUUCUUGCAUACCUAAUCAGACGAUGUAAAAAUUUAAAAUGUGCUUUUUUUUAAAAAAAAGCAUGGUUAUUUUUGUACCAGUAUCAUCCUUGAGUGUUUUAUCUGUAGAGCUGUUUGCAGAUUUAACCUUGUCAUCAAUAUCCAAACUCGCAUUGCUCAGGUCAUUGACUAGAUCAUCAGUUUUCCAAGAGGGAGAUGCACGUUUUAUGAAAAAAUCAACACUCAAAGCACCUGCUUCUUGUUGACUAGAAGCUAAAGCAUCAAACAUCUGGAGACCAGAAGGCAUGUAUAAGACUAAAAGAACAGAAAAAUUGAGGAUACUUCUGAACAAGAAGACAGUUUCUUAUGCAAAUAACAGUAGAUGGUAAUUGAAAAAUCAAAAUGUCCGCAACAGAAUUACAGAGCAGAUAGGGGACACAGCAUGCAAAUCUACUUGGAACAACAGAGAGUAGCAUGGUAUUUAGAGAAAAGGCAAUCAGUUGCAAGGACAAAUCAGAGAGGAUGACGUUGCGAAAUUAGUAGCAUAGCAAAGAUGAGCACGUUGUUAUGUACCCUUGUACAUUUCCAUGAAACCAAAAAAGAAAGAUAAGAAAUUAUAUUACUAAGUCGCGAGACAAUUCUGACCUCCUUGGACAAAAUAGAUUUCAGGUUGUUCGUUGGCAGCUGUUUUUGCCAUUCUGUUUCCUGCAAGAAAGCUUUAAUGUGAGAUGGAUCCUCAAAAUUUAGGCUAAGCAAUUAACUAGCUCCCAGAAUGGAAAAAUACCUGAGUACCUUCCAUAUCCAUGGGAUCUGCAGGUAAACAAACUACAACAUCACUUAUCUAUUUCAAAUCAGUAUAACAGUAUUCAAAUACUACAAAACAUUGACAAUGUUCCUACAGUUCUAAUAAAUGUAGUUUUCUUGUUUAUAGGCUUUUGGCACUACAAUUACAUCCACAAUUCACUUGUGCACCCUAGAUUCUUAAUAGCUAGGGCUUUCCCCACAAUGUCACACAUCUAACCUAGCAAAGGCACAAGUGACACUACAAUAGAUAGGAAAAUGGUUUCCAAAAUCACUUGAAUCACAACUUCAACUGUCUGCUGUAAACUCAUGAUUCCUCCAAAGUGCGAUGGAUUAAUUUUUUGUUUCCAAAACAGAGCAUCAUGAUCCAAUUAUCUACGUUUUCUAUCCAAAAUCAUAACCAAGCCUACUAAUACAACUCAUCAAUUGAAUUUAACAAUAGUACCUAAACCACUGACAUCUACUCGGAUUCCAUUCCGAGUAAUAUCCCUCAGACCAACGCUGGGAAACUAACCAAACCUGAACACAUCACUCCCCAGUCCCCACCCCCACCUUAAAAAAAAAAAAACAAUCUAGAUGCUACAUUCGCGACGGAGGAUGCGAUUAACAACCGACAGCGCCGCGCAUCAGGAGGGGGGAGGGGGAUGCAAACCGGAACCUGAGCCGACGUGGCCCCCAUUGCACGCGACGAAGAAGAUCGACGGCGCGAGAACGAAGAGGAACACGACGACCACCAGCGGCGCCACCACGCCGCGCCUCCCUCCUCCGCCGCCGCCGGCCGUGGAGUACGGGAGCCGCUUCGAGUUCGCCAUCUCCAGCGAAGGGUAGGAUCCGCGGGGGUCCACCUCGCCGGAGAGUGCACGUACGUCGCGCGCGGCGCGCUUCCCUCUCCGCCUCCUCCGCCGAGAGUGGGGUGGGGGGAGUGGCGUGGUGAGGGGAAGCCUGGAAAGGAAGGGGAAAGCACCCGAAGAUGUGAGGCAACCGAUGGUGGGCUAUUUGGGCCUUUUUGAAAACCAUCUAGGCUUCUGCCUUGUCUACGGCCCCGUUUAGAUGGGCCAAAUUAAGGCCCACCUAUGUGUAUGGGCUAGUAUGAAACAAAGGUUAAAAAAAAAAGAGGUGGUCUAAAAGUGAAAAUAUUGGUUAAGGGUUCGUGGUGAAACUAGGGUAAAAAUAAUUAGUCCAAUGUUAAAUGAACUCUACUUUAAUUAACUUAUUUGGCCCUAUUUAGCACAACUCCGGAUUUAAGAUUUCCUUUUUUUUAGUUAUGUAUUUUUAGCUCCACAAAUGCAUGAAUCGAAAUCUAAGGUUACAUCAAAAAUAUCUAGAUUAGUCAUUUUGUUCUUAGUUUAGACUAAAUAUAAUAUUUGAAACCAAUACAAUUUAACAUACAUACUUCAAAUCCAACGUAAAAUUGGGAGCUAGAGUUCUGCCAAAUAAAUCCUUUAUUUUGUCAACCAGUUCAUAAAAUCUUUGGUAACCUUAGAGUUUAGGAAUUUAAUAGUAUAGGACCUCCAUUUUGAAAUAUAUGACGCCUUGACCUUUUAAUUUUUGGAUAUAAUGUUUCACAAUUUGUCUUAUUUAGAAUACUAUGCAAGUACUUCUUUUGUUUCAUAUUAUAAGACAUUUUGGGUUUCGAAUAGAUUUAUGCAUGGAUCCAUAUAUGUGCAUCAUAUACGUGUCUAAAUUCAUAUAGAUGUUAGUUAAUCUAGAUGUGGGGUCGAGAGGCCAAAACGUCUUAUAGCAUGAAACAAAGGAGGUAACAUUUAUUUUGUAUUUGAUAUGUUUUAUCAUUAAAGGUACUUUAACAAUUAUUGCAAUAAAUCUUUAAAUAAAAUGAAUUGCUCAACAUCAUGUCUAAAAAUUAAUAGCAUUAUUACAUAUUUAAAAAUAUAGGGAGUAAUGGAUCGGACGAGAUGAGUACAUGUAGUGAGUGGUUCUCCGAUUAGUUUUAGGGCUGGUUUUCAUUACUUUUAUUGCCUGGAUCUCUUUUAAUGAUUUUCAGGCAAUCAAAAAAAUCUACCCCAAAUUACAAAAAUCAAACUUUGAAUUCAAAAAACGCUUUAAAUCUAAAGGAGUACCAAGCAGAUCCAUCUCGGCCACUCAAUAUGUUGGUCCAUAUCAAGCCAGUUAAGUUUCAACUAGAGAGAUAGCAUAGGUUACUUUCAGAAAAAACAAAAGGGGAAAAAACAGAGAGCAUAAGAGUCGUUUUAUAGCAGUAGAAAGAAGCAAGAGUUACACGCAUCAAGGUGGUGUUUGGAUCAGGGACUUUAGUCCUAUAUUUAGACACUAAUUUAGAGUAUAAAAUAUAGACUACUUACAAAACUAAUUCAAUAAAUGAAAGCUAAUUCGCGAGACAAAUUUUUUAAACCUAAUUAAUUGAUAAUUAGAGAAUGUUUACUGUAGCAUCACAUAAGCUAAUCAUGGAUUAAUUAGGCUCAAUAUAUUCGUCUCGUGAAUUAGUCCAAAAUUAUUGAUGAGUUUUUAUUAAUAGUCUACGUUUAAUAUUUAUAAUUAGUGUCCAAACAUCCAAUGUGAUAGGGACUUAAAAACAGGGCCCAAGCACACCAUAGAAAAAAGACGCCCCACAUCACGGUUGCAGACAAAGUUGCAGAUUCCAGCAAUGACGCAAUUAAAACCGAAAAUUAUCUCUCAACCAUCCAUUCGAUCCAUCAACUCAUGCGGUGAUCGAUCGAUCAGCUGGAGAGAAAGUUCCAGUGACAGGUUCAUCAAAAUUAAGCCGGCAGGCAAGCCUGAAAGCUACCGUUAACGCAUUUUAUUUUUUUCAGAACAACUGACACCGGCCGUGUAUUUACUCCACUUAAUAGAAGCACCUCUGAUCAGGCUGGGUGAUCUUCUCCGUCAGCUUUUUACAUCAUAUCUACUCCGCCAAGUUGCAUCCACGGAUGUAAGGGUGAUCAUACUUUAUAUACCUUGUCCAAUAUGGUCUGUACUUGGUCAUUGCUAACUCCAGCCAUGGCUUCAUGUUACCGUUGUAAUGAACAACAGCAGCAUUAUCUAUCUCUGAGCGAUCAAUGCUUGGGUUGUAUCCUAAUCCAAGGACAUGCCACGACUUGUCAAGGGGAUGCGUCAACUUGUAGAAGGUUAAGAGGCCAGGUGGAAGCGUCCCAAGCUUCCAAAGAACCCGGUCUUCAUUCUGUUAGAAGAAAAAUAGCAAGAAUAAUGUUAGACUAAAUCAUGUUGCAUUACAGUUUCUUCUCUAAAUCAAUGUGAUCCAAUAAUGAAAGUAGUAGUCUCACCAUGCUUUGCCACUUGUGGUAGAUCCCAGUGAUAUCUUUCUUCUUCCACUCCUUCAGAUCAAAGAUGUUCAUUCCAUAAGCCCAGCCACAUGCAUUUGGAUCAAAGUUCCGAGCAAUAUGUGGAUUGGAAAAGUUAAGGUACUUGUCAAAACGAUGGAAACUCUCCCCACAGGUCUCCACUGCACCAUUGACCUUCCCAUUAAGAUCAACGUCCCAUAAUCCUGUCAAAUCUUUCUGCACGACUAUGUCAUCAUCAAGGAAAAGUAUCUUAUCCAACUUUGGAUAGACCUGUGGGAGAUAAAAUCUCAAGUGGUUCAGCAUGGAGAGGUACUUGGGGUUACGAUACUUUAGGUUUGAAGAACCCGCAGAGAGAGUGGUGGGGCGGUCAGCCUUGAAAUAAUACUCUUUCAUGGCUGCAGACUCAAGUUGUCGUAAAACAGGACAGUACGAUGAGUUCAACCACUUAAAUUCAUCUACGUUCUCAACAUGGAUGGUGGCCUUCCCAGGUGGGUUCAGCAAAAACCACAUGUUCAUGGCUCCAAAGUUCAACUUAUCAGUCACAAGAUGGAAAACAUGCUUCUCAGGCUCCUGAAAAGGUUAUGCCAUACAUAGUUGUCAGAACACUUAUCACUUAUCACAGUUUGCAUUUGAUUAAAGAGGAAGACAGAAACUACCUUAGCAUUCAUUAUGGUUGAGUUCACAACAACAGAUGCUGCCAAGACAUUGUCUGAGAAAAGUGCAUAGUGGUAGAGCUCUGGAUUUUCCAAGUUCUCGCUCCUCGGGAACUUCCUUUUCUCCAACGGGAGGAGAUAGUAAUCUAUUGUUAAGCGCAUCGACAAACAAUGAAUGCUGUUUGGAAUUGUCUUCGCAGCCAACUGGCUAAGAAAUGUACUCUGCUUCUUCAAGCUCCUGACUUGUUCAUCUGCUGACUGAAGCAUAGCUCUAAGUCUCUGAGUAACCGCCUUGCAAUCAUACACAUCUUCUCUAGCCUUGGAUAGAAGUUGACCCAUUACUCUGACUUUCUCAGGUGCACUGCAAAGUACAUUAUUUGUCACGAUGGAGAACAAGAUAAGAUAUCAGAUAUGAAGUGAAAAUAGAUAAGAUAUCAGAUCACAGAUAUAACACCUAUGAUGAAGGUCAGAAUCAGCAGUAGCCUCUCCAACAGCCCUCUGGCUUUCCUUGAUCCUGGUUUGCAGCUCUUGAUAAAGAUCAUUCUUGUUCUUUGAUUUAGCAAGCACAGAAUAAACACGUGCCAUGAUAAUCUGGUCUCUCAUCAAUCUAACUGUUGAAUCUGAGUUCUCAUUCUCAUUCUCUUUUCUCCAAAUGCUGUAUUUCCCAAGGACAGCAGAAUCUACAGCCUUUGAUCGUUCAAUAGCAGCAUUCUCCAGCUUAACACGUGCUUCAUCAUCUUUCCUUACCAAAUCCAUUGCCCUCUUUUCACGCCUUUUCUCCCUUAGUUUCUUUAGCGACCAAAACAUAUCAAGGGAAGUAUUAGGUCAUAAGAAAUGGAUAUCGAUAGAAACAAACAACAAUGUAUCAAUGUACAUACAAGAAGACCAGCAUGCUUACCCUUCGAGCAUUUUUUGCAGGUGCAUCGACUUGAUGUUCAGCUGCACAGAAAAGAAGUAUAUUUUCUUGAGUACCUAAUCGGAUUGUGUGAAAUGUGCUUUUCAAAAAAAGUCAUGGUUAUUUUUAUACCAGUAUCAUCCUUGGGUGUUUUAUCUGUCAGUGAUAACUCAUGUUCUGCAGAACUGUUUUCAGAUUUAACCUUGUCAUCAACAUCCAAACUAGCAUUGCUCAGGUCAUUGACUAGAUCAUCAGUUUUCCAAGAGGGAGAUGCACGUUUUCUGAAAAAAUCAACACUCAAAGUGCCUGCUUCUUGUUGACUAGAAGCUAAAGCAUCGAUCAUCUGGAGACCAAAAGGUAUGCAUAAGACUAAAAGCACAGAAAAAUCGAGGAUACUUCUGAACAAGAUGACAGUUUCCUAUGCAAAUAACAGUAGAUGGUAAUUGAAAAAUCAAAAUGUUCGCAACAGAAUUACAGAGCAGAUAGAGGACACAGCAUGCAAAUCUACUUGGAACAAUAGAGAGUAGCAUGGUAUUUAGAGAAAGGGCAAUCAGUUGCAAGGACAAAUCAGAGAUCAUGACAUUUCGAAAUUAGUAGCAUAGCAAAGAUGAGCAUGUUGUUAUGUACCCUUGUACAUUUCCAUGAAACCAAAAAAUAAAGAUAAGAAAUUAUAUUACUAAGUCGCAAGACAAUUCUGACCUCCUUGGACAAAAUAGAUUUCAGGUUGUUUGUUGCCAGUUGUUUUUGCCAAUCUGUUUCCUGCAAGCAAGCUUUAAAGUGAGAUGGAUCCUCAAAAUUUAGGCUAGUAAACCAAUUGACUAGCUCCCAGAAAAGAUAAAUACCUGAUUACCUUCCCUAUCCUUGGGAUCUGCAGGUAAACAGAAUACAACAUCACUUACAUAUUUCAAAUCAGUAUAGCAGUAUUCAAAUACUACAAAACAUUGACAAUGUUCCUACAGUUCUUAUAAAUGCAGUUUUCUUGUUUAUGGGCUUUUGGCACUAGAAUUACACCCACAAUUCACUUGUGCGCCCUAGCUUCUUAAUAGCUGGGGCUUUCCGCACAAUGUCACACAUCUAACAUUCUAACCUCGCAAUGGCACAAGUGACACUACAAGAGAGGGGAAAAUGAUUUCCAAAAUCACUUGAAGCACAACUUCAAUUGUCUGCUGUAAACUCAUGAUUUCUCCAAAGUGAGAUUGAUUAUUUGCGUUUCCAAAACAAAGCAUCAUGAUCCAAUUAUCUAUAUACAGAGUUCUCAUCCAAAAUCAUACCAUACCCUGUAAAUACAACUCAUCAAUUGCAUUUAACAACAGUACCACUAAAAUCUACUCGGAUUCCAUUCCGGCAAUAUCCAUGAGACCAACGCUGGGAAAUUUACCAAACCUGAAGACAUCACUCCCAGUCCCCACCCCACCAAAAAAAUAAUAAUAAAAUCUAGAUGCUACAUCAGGGGGGGGGGAGAGGGGGGGUGCAAACCGGAACCUGAGGCGACGUGGACGUGGCCCCCAUUGCGCGCGACGAAGAAGAUCGACGGCGCGAGCACGAAGAGGAACACGAGGACCACCAGCGGCGCCACCACGCCGGAGCCGGAGGCGCCGCCGCGCCUCCCCCCUCCUCCUCCUCCUCCCCCGCCGCCGCCGGCCGUGGAGUACGGGAGCCGCUUCGAGUUCGCCAUCCGCCGGAUCCGGCCGCCGCGGCGGCGAGGGCGACGUUGCCUUCUCCGAGACGAGAGUGGGGUAGGAGGGGAGUGGCGUGGUGAGAGGGGAGGAGGGGAAGCCUGGAACGGGAAGGAGGGGAAAGCAGCCGAAGCAGUCGGUGCUGGGCUAUUUGGGCCUGCAUUGUCUACGGCCUCGUUUGGAAUAGGCCGCGAAUUUCGGCCCAUUUGUGGGCGAGGUAGGCCGUCACGCCGCCGUCGCACUCGCCGAAGCCGCCUGCGUCGCAGCCGUGACACAUUCACACACGCCGCCGGUGCUGUCGCCGUGCGAACCCAUGGCGACUUUGCGUGAACUGAUCGGAGUUCAGCGACUGUGUGGCACUACCACAGUGUACAGGAGUAGCAUAUUUUUAGUGUGUGACACUAUGAAUACUCUUAAUUGCUGUCAAUAUAUCGGCUUUUUUUCUCCUUCUUUUCCUUUUCAAUUUUCGGCAACAAACAAUGGCGCGUGUGGAUGAUGGGUCGGGCUCGACAGGACCAAGGGGAAGAGACAGAGAACAAAAUGGAGAUGAUGGACGAGGAAGAGAGAAGAGGGAGGAUGAUACGUGGGUUCCACUUUUGUUUUGUUUCUUUCUUUUUUGCCACGUAAACGCUAGUCAGCAUGAAUGUAUUAGGUCAACUUGUCACGUCAGCAAAACCGAUCAUCCAUAUAGCCCAAAUACAUAAUUUAAACCGGUUUUGCAUGUUGAGGAUGAGAUUUCUUGUAUUGCGGUAUAGGGAUGUGAUUUAAACUCGAUAGAAAGUGACUUAUUCUGGGUGGGCUGCAAUUUUGAGGCCUAUCUGGACCGUGAUGAGCAUACCUUUCGUUUGGAUCAUGCAUCCGCGUAGUUGAUCAAAUCAUAAACUUUUGGUUAAAAAGAAGUUAGGAGUUUAAUGAUAAUCAGCUGUAUGUGAUAAGCAUCAAACUUGAGGACUCCAUAUAGUGUUAUAAUCCACUUUGGAUUUUAGGUUCUAAUUUUCGAGUUAGUUUUUAGAGUUGUUCUUAGUUAUUUGUUAUUGCCCGGGUUCUUUUUUAGUGAUUCCUAAGAGGACAAGUAAAAAUUCACCUAAAAUGAUUCUUAAGCAUGAAACUAAUUUAAAUUCAAAAACACUUUAUAAAGAAGUACCAAGCAUAUCUAUCUCGGUCAAUCGAUAUUUUUGGUGUAUAACAAAGCUAGUUAAAUGUGAAACCACAGAGCCACCAUAGGUUACUUUCAGAAAAAAGAUGGAAAAAAACAGAGAGCAUAAGAGUCAUUUUAUAGCAGUACUAGAAAGAGGCAAGACCGCAAGAGUUACACGCAUCAUCAAGCACACCAUAGAAAUCAUACACCACAUCACGGUUGCAGACAAAGUUGCAGAUUCCAGCAAUGACGCAAUUAAAACCGAAAGUUAUCUCUCAAACCAUUUCAUUCAGGCCCUAUUUAGAUGGAACUUAAACUUUUAAUUCCAUAUCACAUCGGAUGUUUGGACACUAAUUAUAAAUAUUAAAUGUAGACUAUUAAUAAAACCCAUCCAUAAUCUUGGACUAAUUCACGAGACGAAUCUAUUGAGCAUAAUUAAUCCAUGAUUAGCCUAUGUGAUGCUACAGUAAACAUUCUCUAAUUAUAGAUUAAUUAGGUUUAAAAAAUUUGUCUCAUAAAUUAGCUUUCAUUUAUUGAAUUAGUUUUGUAAGUAGUCUAUAUUUAAUACUUUAAAUUAGUGUCUAAAUAAAAAGACUAAAGUUAAGUUUCUGAUACAAACACCACCUCAAUCCAUCAACUCAUGCGGUGAUCGAUCGAUCAGCUUCAUCAAAAUUAAGCCGGCACGCAAGCCUGAAAGCUACCGUUGACGUAUUUGCUUCAGAGCACACGUAUUUUUUACCCAUGCCAGAUUACCAACCUUGCAACGACUUCUUCAGUUCAGUUCUCCUCAUGUACGUCUCCUGCAGAGUCUGGCAAGAUUCGAGAGCUAUCUUGACAUGUUCUGAAUUCUGAUCGCGACAUGAACACCAUGGUUCGUUCGGUUUUUUCAGGAAAAAGAAUCGCAUGACUCGCCAAGCGCAUAAUUAAACAAUCGUGUUUCAUAAUUAAUCCACACUUAUUAGCUGCUAGUACUAAUUUGCUAUACAAAUCCAGUCAUGUCCUCAUCGACGUAGACUGUAGAAUGUACAAAUGAAACGAGAUCUGUCUUUGUGUGUCGACUUCAUCUAAUAAUUGCCAUUUUUGCAGUAACAUCUACUGCAUCAUCGAUCGUUUCCAUUUGCUUGCCAUCUACUAGUGUUCUUCUAUUUACAAGCUCACCACACUCAUUCCCUAAAGCUAAUCAAAUAUGUGCUAAUUGCAGAGCUGAGCUGAGCUGAGCUAAAUGCCACUACGAAUAAUUAAAGAAUUUAACGCAAAGCACGCAGCGUCAUUUGGCGACAUUGCAUGCGUGUAGGUGUACCAUGGCAACCAAACGAAUUCGCUAAUCUACGAAUCGCGGCGGCGCCGCCGUCACUGCUGCGGCUGGCCGUCGGCGGCGGCGACGUCGUGCUGGUGCGGCCAGGGGAUGAGGCUGUAUGGCGGGAAGCAGCAGUCGCACUGCCCCGGGCACCGCCGCGGCCACUCGCCGGCCGCGGGCAUCUGCUCCGCCGCCGCCUCCUCGGCCGCCGCGGCGGCGACGGCGUCGUCUUCCUCGGGCGGCGCUCCGGCGUCGCGGAGCGGGCCCCAGCACUCGACGCGGUUGAAGCGUGGGAGGUUGGAGUGGAAGUAGACCCACACCGUGGCCUCCUCCAGCUCCGGGUGCCGGCUGAACAGGUUGCCGUCGCCGUGGACGAACGCCUUCAGAACCUGGCCGAACACGCGCCGAGUCAACGGUCAACCAAAGCAAGCGAUUAGGCUCGAAUUAAUCAAUUUCAGGAAGCUGUUCAAAAAUUUCGAUUUUUAUUCUCACAUCUGAACUUCCAAGUCGUGUUUGGCACGUGUCAAGUGGGCAUGCAACUUUGAACACAGUUGAUUAAUUUCACUAGUAUAUAAUAUUCUUAAAAAGUUGAUAAAAUAGAUUAACAUAUAAUAUAUUGCACCACAAACAUAUAAGUUUAAAUUUGACAUUUGACUUAUACAAGUUAUAAUAAAAGUAACAAAUUUAACAGUGAACAUAGUAAACUAAUUAGAGUUUGAUUGGUUAUAUUUAUUACAACUUAUAAAAGUCGAAUUUAAACUUACAUAUUAUAUGUGAAUCUAUAUUAUCAAAUAUUUUAAUUUUUUUUAUAACGAUUUAAUUGAUAUGUAACAGAUGGAUGGAUGCCAAUCUGAGAGAUUAAAAUUGUUUCCCCUACUUGUUGGAGAUCAGUUUUUGGUGCCACUAAUAACAGUGUCUAAAAUCAGAUCUAGAAAGUCAAGGGAUUUGCCUGCUUUAGCAGACAAGAAUUAUUGGAUCCCAUCAAUUAUCUCAGGGACAUUGACACAGAGUACGUCUUGAUUGCAAAAAUGAAAAGAGCAAAGGGGAAAAAAAAAAGGAAAAAAGCUUGUGGUCUCCAAGUCUGAAAGAAGAAGAGAGCAUCAGUAAAGCGAGCGACGAGGAAAGGGGCCACGUACGUACCACGGGGAGCUCCUUGCGGAAGAUGUAGUAGCGGAGGCCGGCGAUGAGGUCGAGGAGGACGUGGCCGCCGGAGAUGUGGCAGUGGACGUGCAGCGACAUGUGGCCCUGCACCUUCUUCCACUCCGCCACCACCUCGUCCCGCUGCAGCUUGUUGUACCACCCCUGCAGCUGCGCCCGGUUGAUGGUGUGCGACACCGCCAGCGUCAGCCUCGCCGUCACGUCGCUGUGCGUCAGCGUGUACGUCCGCGGCAGCUUCCCCGGGUGCUGGUGCUUCUCCUCGUCCACCCCCAGGAACAGCACCUUCAGCUUCGACGCCUCGAAGAUCGCCGGCCCGAACAGCCUCGCCCUCUGCACCACCACAUCCACAUACAUAUUUAAUUUACAUUUCAUUCGGAUUCUUCUUCUCCAACCAUUGAUUCACCGGAGAAGAAAGAGGAUGGUGCAUGUACGUACCGGCACGACGUAGCGGCAGCGGCGGCGGCGGCGAGAGUUGUGGCAGCGGGAGGCGAGGACGACGAGGGAGUCGGCGGCGUGCCACCGCUGCUGCUGGGUGAUGGGAGGAAGCAGGGACAUGGUCGAAGUAGCAGCAGCCAUGUCUGCUCCCUCGGAUCUCUUAGUCCUAGCUAGCCAGCAGUAGUUAACUUUAAGCCUAACAACCAAAACGACUCUUGACAGCUUUAAUUAUAAGCUGGGAUCUCUAUGGAGGCCGGAGAUGCUGGAGGCGCGGCUAAUUAAUCCCUCUCGGCGAAAGCACGAGCCUUGCACGCCUCAACAAAGACACCGGCCGGCCGAUCGAUCGAUCAAAAUUUUGGCUCGGUUUGGUAGCUUCGCGGAUUGGCUUCUCAGUCAGUUCAGCUCGCUGCAGGUUGGUGAUUAUAAGAGAGAGCGGGUUAAGUGAGAAGAAGAGUGUUGUAUUAGUGUUGGUGUGCACGCGUGGUGCGGUGGGGGGUGGAGUGAGGGGUCGGGAAACGUCGCGGUUGUGUGCGCGCGCGGGGAAGCUCGCGUCGUCGCCGCGCCCUCCUCUCGUGUCGUCUCGCGGCGGUGGUGGUGGUGGUGGAAAAACGCCCAGGAAAACGGGGGAAAUUGUGGCGUUCGCGCGUGGGUGGAAACGGGAGGAAUGGAACGCUUGGCCGUGCUGCACGUGGCGUCUCUGCUACAGGAGCGUGGUUUGAUGCAAAUUUGACAUUCGGUUACGGCCUUGUUAGUUCCAAAUAUUUUUUCUUCAAACUUUCAACUUUUUCAUCAUAUCAAAACUUUCCUACGUAUAUAAACUUUUAACUUUUUUUGUCACGUCGUUUCAAUUUUAACCAAACUUCCAAUUUCGAUGUGAACUAAACACAUAUAUACGUAUACGUACCACACACCUACUUAUCUGUAACUAUUUUCCUCUUGAAACGGGCUAAAUAUUGAUCGUAAUUUGCAGAGUUUCUACCGAAAGACAUACAGCAGGAUACUUAAUAUUGGCCCGAAUUAAUCUAGUGGAGACUUGGACUUCAUUUGGUUUUGACCAUGCAAUAUAUGGGGACUGCGUCUGCUUAAUUGGGAUUGUAAUUUUGCGUUACGUACGUUGCACCGCGCAGUGUACUCAACAUUUCAAGUAACUCGUUGACAAAGCAAAUGAUGGAGAUAUUUUUUUUUCCGGGGGAUCUGAGUGGAUCAAACUUCAGAGUGAUCGUUCCAAACACGAUUCCAACUUCUUUUUUUUAUAGAACUAGAUUCCAAGUGUAAUUACAUGGUAGAACUAGAUUCCAAGUGUAAUUACAUGGUGUAAGGCUACUGCACGGCGCUGUUGCUUGCGAGCUAGGCGCAUCCGUGCUUUCUGAAAUGCAUGUAUAUAUGCGCGAGUGAUCAUAUUUUUGACUGAAUCCUCCGCGAUGCGUGCGAGCUGAUCAGCUCGUGCAAGGCAGCUGACACACUCACAUAAGCGAUCGAUGCUAGUUAUGGAAUCUAGCUUAAUUUUUCUCGGUCUAACUGAAGAAGGAGCAUUCGUCACGUUUGGCAAAUACGGCCAUGCGACAUAUAGUUGGAAGACGAAAAUGGGAGACUUGGCUCGUGGUUAUCAUGUUCUAGCCUCACCCGUUCCCACAGCCCACGUGACCAAACAGGAUGAACGAGAGCGCCAAAGCUUCAUCGAUCCGUUUCUUUGCUUCUGUUUUCGAUAUGUAUGCCAUGUUUGUGAAGGUUAACGCUAUGAGAAACAGCUAGCUGGUAACGAGCUUUUAAGAAUCUACAUAAGCUAGACAAAAUCGUAUAUCGAUGGGUCAGCUUAAGAACCCCCAUAUGAAAUGAUCAUAUAUACCUUCAAUCUGGGGACCCAAUCUUAUUAAAAAGGAAAAUUGAAAAUCUUGAGGCCCAACGUGAAUCACAUAUACUGCAGUUAUAACUGUUUCAAAACGCCACAAUGUCUCAAAAAAUCUGUAAAAAUUCUGCUCCGAUACGCCAGGCGGGCUAGCUGCCGGCGGAAGGCUGCAGAAAGUGCAGAUUCGUCAGAGGCGGAGACGUUCAUGCAACUCCGAGCGAGAAUUUGCAGCCCGGCCGUAAAUAAUCUAGAGGUGAAUUCCGUCCGGUAAAUAAUCCACGGUUACGAAUUACCCCUAAACUAUUAUGGACGAUCGAAUUACCCCCUAAACUCGAAUAUCAGAUAUUUUACACCCUUAACUAUACAAACCGGGUAAAUAACCCCCGGCUCAAUCCGGGGUGGUUUCAGUACUACGUGGCAGUCCGAUCAGCAUUUUUUUUUUAAAAAACAGUGUGGGCCCCACCUGUAAGACUCUCCGCUCUCUCUUUCACCUCUAACGUCUCAAUCUCUCUCUACUCUCUCAAUCCCCAUCCCCUCUCUUCCUCCUCCUCCCUCACCUGCUGCAGCGAGCGGCGGCAGCCGGCCGGCGCACGGCGACGCGCCAUCUCUCUCCUCUCUACCCUUGCUGUGGUGGUGGCCGGCUGGCAAGGCGCGAGUCCCCCAUUACCAUCGAGCUCGGGUGACCGUACGACGCGCCCCACCUUUGCUUCCACCGGACAUCGUGCUUGUCCCCCAUCUCUGCCUCAUGCUCCCGCGGAGGCUCGCCAACGUCGCCGAUGGGGGUGGUGGACAAGCACGGCAGCCACCUUCGGUGAUGGUUUGUGCACCGAUGUCUGCGCGUCGAUCCGUCUCCGCCGUCGGCCACCGUCUCCUCCUCCAGCCAUAGACGCAGAGAGAGAGAGCAAGCAGGGAGGCAGGGGCCAGGGGGAUGGGAUUUGAGAGGGAUUGGUGGAGGAAAGAGAUGACAUAUGGGUCCUAAGAUUUUUUUUAUUUUUAUUUUGCUGACUGGAUGUCACGUUGGCGGCCACGUAUGCAGACACAAGUCAAAAACCAUCCAAAACAGUGCUCAGGGGGGGUUAUUCGUCCGGUAUACAUAGUUUAGGGGGAACGAUGUCUGGUUUUCGAGUUUAGGGGGAUAAUUCGAUCGACCGCUAUAGUUUAAAAGGGUAAUUCGUAUUUUUUUUCCUUUUUAAUACAUAGAGAUGAUUUCUUGGGUUGAGAUGCAUUUUAGUAGUAAUCCGGAGGUGAAUUCCGGUGAAUUUUGAGUAUUUUAUUUACUACUACUACUUCCAGUUCCAGGAUGCAGUCGUCGUCAGGAAACUGGAGAGGACACCGGGCCAAAUUUAGCUAGGCGACGUGGAUGCACCGGCGUGUGGGCUUCAUUUCCGUGAUGCUUAGAAGGCACGGUUUGCCCUCUCUCGCGAUCGCCUGCCUGGCCCGCACGCUGCCCGCGGCCGCCGGCCGGGGGCAUGUCGCGAUCCGAUCCACGUUUCGCGUGCGGUAUACGUGCUCGAUCAGGUUCAGCUCCCACGGCCACGGGCGCGCGAUUGAUUGAUUCACCGGCCGCGUGGCCGCUUCCGGUUAACAUGCGCGCUCAACGCGGUCACGGUCACGGCGCGUGUGUUGUGUUGUGUUGUGUUGUUGCGGAUUUGAGAUUUGCAUGCAGUUGCAAGCCUCGCUCGCUCGUAUUACGGAUGUCGUAUGUGGUGUGUAUGCCUACCCCGAUUCCACGGUGGGUGAGCUGCAAAGUACCCGUAGUUUUCAGUGAAAAAACUCACAUUUAUGCAUGCAUUAUAUCGCUGCCACCUCCUUUAUCCAAUACGAUCGAGUAACAGUCAGGGUUCAGGUUCUUUUUUUAUAAAAAAAAAUCUGUAACUGAUUGAAAACCGUAAAAUUUUUAGGUUUUGACGUAGAACGAAGGCAGAUUCCGAGUAAAAUUUUGGAAUGUUUUCAAGGAUUCAAAUUUUUAACAACAAAUUAAUUUGACCGAAAUUUGACGAAAACCAUCAUAUCGUCGUGAUUAGGAUUAGGCACUAGAUCAAAAGGUGCACCCUGUAUCACAAAUUGUAAAGGAUGAUUUUAUUCCUGAGUAAUGGAAUGCCCUGUUUUUCCCGAAAAAAAAAAGUUGCACCCUGGUGAUUAGGAUUAGGAUUAUGUUGACCGUGCAUGCUCAGGCUUCAACACUCACGAGCUCGCUUGGGUACCCGUGAGUAUAUAUGGUUGUCAAAAUAUAUCAUACGACUUUAUGGUUGUAAUUAAGGAGUCUGAUUCUACGAUAUAGUAGGUAGAAUCAAUGAUGUUAUCAUUUUUAUGUAUACGAUUUUAUGAUUACGAUCCUACUUAGACAAAUCUGAUUCCAAUUUAAGAUUGUGAUUUUAACGACCUUGCAUGUACUACAGAGCUUGCUCCGUCGGUCGGACACAGAUACAGUGACAUUCCCCCGUGACAUUCUCGGUGACAUUGAGUCACUGACAUAUGGCCACAUGUCAGUGACUCAAUAUCACCGAGAAUGUCACGGAGGAAUAUUACCGAAUCCCAAUCCCCAUCGGUCAAUAGGAGACCAACGAGCUCUCACUUUGCUCCUUCAACCAUGUGCCCUCGUGCUCCUUGUCCUUGUUCUCCUGUUGGACUAUGGUCGUCGUCACAUAGCUGCAGCCCCAUCACAUGCCCUUCUUUGCCGAUCUAGUUUAUUUGCCCCCACUUCCGUCGCCGUAGCGGCAUCUAAGGCCUGGUUUAGUUCUCUAAAAUUUUUAUAUAUAUAAGCAUUAAAUAUAAACUUAAAAAAACUAAUUGCACAGAGAAAUCACUUGAUGAAUCUUUUAAACCUAGUCCAUGAGACUACGAUUAGCCAUAAAUGCUACGGUAACCCACAUUUGCUAAUGACAGAAUAAUUAGGCUAAAAAGAUUCGUCUCGCGGUUUCCAGACGAGUUAUGAAAUUAGUUUUUUCAUUCGUGUCCAAAAAUCCCUUCCGUCAUCCGAUCAAACAUCCAAUGUGACAAUUAAAAAAAAUUUCUUUUCGCGAACUAAACAGACCCUAGGCACAACAAGAGUGGAUGAAAUAGAGAUGAGGAGAAGAUCGAGAGAGGGAGUGGCAAAUGACAUGUGGUCCAAUUUGUAGCCAAGUACUAGGUGCAGAACAAGUCAUUAAUUUCAAGUCCUCUCCAAUUAAAAAAAACAAAAGACUAGUUUUUGGCAUGUGUUUUCGCAUGCCCGAACUUUUACGGUGACUAGUGGCAAACACCAUAUUUUUUUUAAGUAUCUAUAACAAAUUUUGGCUAGAAGUUAACUCUAGUUGACCAAUUAACCUGGAAAUUUUGAGAAUACGUUGCGUCAAUAAGCUUGACGAAUAAUUAUAGUGACGUUUUAAUAACAAAAUAUAUCCAACUUGUCAUGAGAUUUCUCGUAGAAAAAAUAAAUUUUGUCAUGACAGAUUGAGAGUUUGAGAUCAGACAGCACAUCGCAUUCAUAACAAACACCAUUAUACUACUACUAUUACAUUAUAGCGAAUGAUAUGCAUUUCAGACAUAUACUGUAGCACGUUUACCACGAGCCUUUCGGUCGCUCGAUAAGCAUCGAUCUGGAUACAGUGAGAAAAUGAACAUGGACACUUUUUCGACGAAACAAUGAUUUUCUUUGGUGACCUUAGCCCAAGGAACUUCUUCAACGUGAUUUUUUUUUCCUUUUGGCAGGGUAUGUAUACAUAUAUAUAGAUUAGUGAGAUGUGACUGGGAAGAGGGCCAGCAAGACAACAGCAAAUUGCUUAAGGGCAUUCUCAAUGUAUAAAAUGCACGCAGAUCAUAAGAUGAGACCCACGAUUAUAUAUGAUCUUUUGCUAAUAGUAUAGUUACAACAAAUAUCUGCUGCUCGUUCUGUUGGUGUUCACGGAAGCGGCGGUGCCUGAAAGCUAACAGCGAAUAGGGCCUCUUGUUCGAUAAUGCAACAGUUACUGUCACAAACUGUUCGAAUUUUACAUACUCAUUACUCUCUCGUCUCAUUAAAAAAAAUGAUCUGUCUCAUUAAAAAAAAUCAACCUAUGAUGAGAUGUGAUGUUUCUAGGUACAAUAAAUCCGAAUAUGCAUAUAUGUUUUCUAAUACAAUACUAGAAAACAUCUUGCCUCAUUCUAGAUUGGUUUUUUAUGGGACAGGGCAGCACUUGUGUAUGUUUGGAUUUUGCAUAUCAUGAUAAUUCAGACUUUAUACCCUCUUGUGCACGUUCAUAACGUUUCAUAUUCUGUAAACAAUUUUAUGAAUUGAACCUGAACGAGAACUAACUUAUUUUUGGGUAUGUUUAGUUCACGCUAAAAUUGGAAGUUUGAUUGAAAUUGGAACGAUGUGAUGGAAAAGUUAAAAAUUUAUGUAUGUAGAAAAGUUUUGAUGUGAUAGAAAAGUUAAAAGUUUGAAGAAAAAGUUGGGAACUAAACCAGGCCAUAUGGAUGUAAACAUAUUCAGAACACAAAUGCCACUAGGCUCAAAAGUCCACAGUGCUAUAGUGUCACACCACAGUAUGUACAGUGAUUGUCUGAUUGAUAGGUUUAGGGAUCUUUUUUUUUUCUAAAAACGUUUAGGGAUCAAAUGUUGCCAAAGCGACCAAAGUAUCACAAUAGACAAACUUGUCACAAUCGGUACAAUGUUGCACGAUAGACUAUGAUGUCUUAGGCCUGAUUUUUUUAAUUAGCUGAAUAAUUUUAUAAUAAUUAUUUGAGAAUACAAACAAAUGCACCAAAACUAUUAGAAAGCAGAAAAAAUAAAUAAAUUCAAAUAUAGAGAGUUUUUUCAAUACUUAUACUGUUUAGAAGCUCAAAAAUAUGUCCCUCUAUUCUUUCAUUCCUUAAAAAAGAAUAUCGAUCCUUAAAAUUAAGGUCGCAUACAUAAUUUGAUAAAUAAAUAUUGUAUCACGUUUCAAUUUGUACUUCGUAUCAUUAAUUAUUGGUAUGGAAACUGUCCAACAAAUGGUGAUUUCUUCAUCAAUAGAUCUAGGGCGAAACCCAGUAAUCAGGUAUGUGGGUCAUCGGUCGUUGGGUGAGGUGAUCCAAACUUGGAAGCAUUUAGUAGAAAUUAAUUAAAAUAUCCACAAGCCAUGCAUGAUAAUUGUAUGAAAAAAUUCCAUGUGUACCUCUAAAAGUUCACCUAAUUCCUUCUACGUUGCUGAAUUUUGUUCAUUUCCUUGCAUACUCUUGAAUCUUGAAUUUUAGUUUGUAUCCAUUCUAUGUCCUUUUAGUUGACUGUCAGUUGGACGUUAAAUUCUCGUGUAAAAGUCCAUUUUUACCCUUUACUAUCAAGAAACAUAAUAAAUUAAUGGAGUAUAUUGUUUGAGUGUAGAAAUUUGUUCAGUGUGACUAUUAUAUUUAUGAGUUUGUUAUGCACCAUAUUAUUUGUGACAUAAUUACUUUUAGAUAUGAUAUAAAAAAUUUAAUAUUUAUUUAUUAGUUAUUAAAAGUUGGUUUAUGUAGUAUAUUUGUUUUGAUAGUAAUAUAACAUAUUUGUUGUAUAAGACAAAUAUAUUUAUAUGCUACAUAAGCAACUUUUAAUAACUAAUAAAUAAGUAAUUGAUUUUUUAUUUCAAUAUCUCAAAGUAAUUUAUCGCAAAUAAUAUAGUGCAUAACUAACUCAUAAAUAUAAUAGUCUCAUCUAACAAUUCUACACUCCAACGAUGUACUCUAUUAAUCUAUAUUUUUUUCAUAGCAAAGAGUAAAACGGAAUUAUUCAUAAGAAAUUAACGGUCAACUAGCGGAAAGGGCAUAGAAGAGAACCAAACUAAAAUUCAGAUAUAUGUAAAGGACGUAGAAAGGAUUAGGCGAACUUUCAAGAUACGUACAUAAUGAAUUUUCAGGGGUACAUAGUGAUAAAUUUGCAACACCUUGCGUUUUCGUUCUCACAACGCAGAAAGUUCAGACCUAAUGUUAUAGUCAUCAGGGCUAUCAUCCUAUUUAAACUACUAUAUCUCCAGCCAAACCACGGAUAUGGUACUAAGGCUCCGUUCAAACAGUACAUGAUUAAUUGAAUAUUAUCUAUUAUAAAUUUGAUAAACUGAUUUAUUUAUUAAUCUUUAGAAAAAGGUUCUAUAUAGAAAUCUUUUCACAAAAUAUAUCACUUAGCAUUUUGACAAAGUGUUAUCAAAAAUAAAAAAAAGUUAUCGUUUAAAGUUACGGAAAAGAACUCAGCCUAAAAGCUAGCUACAGCAUGCCAGCAGCUGUUGGCUGCUGCCUUUGCUGCCGUAACGUAAGCUCUAAGCACCACCGCUGCUUGCUCGCCAUGGACCAAGCAAGGCCCAAUGCCGACCACUACGCUAGCUAGCCUGCUUUGCUAGGCCCACAAGCAAAGAAACCAGCCCACUACCUUUUUCUCUUAUCUCUUUUUUUUUUCAUCAAUCAAUUAUUCCGGGACGUUACAUCGGUAUCAUGGCCUCAUGGGAACUAUUCUCCUUAAAUCCUUGAGUAUUCUAAAACUUGAGAAAUAUUCAACCGUGUUUGUUUGGAUGCACCACAAAAGGAAUGGUUUUUUUAGAUCCACAAAAGAAAUGGUACAGGACUUUGGAAGAAUUAUAGAUAGAGAUUUUCUUUCACAAGGUUAUCUCUCUCAUGUCAGAAAUCUACUUAGAAACCUACUGUAUUAAUUUAUUUUGCGAAAAAAAUAUUAGGACCAAAAAAGCACGGGUUACAUCGGAAAAAUUAUGUUACUAAGUUUUUUUAAAUAGAAAGUUCAAUUUUACUCUCCCGAAUUAUUUCAUUGGAGUACUUCACUCCUAAGCAAUUUUUUGGGUUAUUUUACACCCCAAACUAUUUAAAACGGUUCAACUGACCCCCUAUCUGUAUUUCUAUUUUUUCCCUCUCUAUAUAUGUCGUAUUUUAUACUAAAUCUAAAAGGAUCGACAGAUGCAUUAUAACUUAUCUCUCAAUAUUUUUUGAAUUUUUUUUAUCAUUGUUUACAUAGGUUGGAAACACUAGAACAUAUUUAAACAUCGAGGUUUUAAGUUUAAAGAAAGUAGUUAUGAAAAUAUUUUAGAACUUUAAUAAUAGUGCCAUCUCUGCCUUAAGAAGUUUAGCUUAAAAUACAGCUUGUAUAAAAGAGAAAUAAAGAAGAGAAAUACUAUUAAGUGGUAAAGUGAAGCAUCAUUAAUAGUUUAUGAGGCAAAAAAAAGUUCAUGAAUUCAGUGCUAAGCUAUGCCUCAUUUGGAUUUUUUUCAAAACAUAGUGCAUAUGCGGACGCUCAUAUAGUCAUAUAAAUUAACGGAAUUGCUAAAAAACUUGCGACAGUUUUAAGGAAAACUGUCAAUUUUUCAGUCGUCGGAUUUACUCCGAGAUUCGUGCGUGCGAGAUGAAAGAAAAUAGCAAAAAGCAGUACGCUAUACUGGGAGUCGAUCAUUUCCCCUCCAAUUAACUAGAGUAGCAUCCCUACCACUGAGCCAGCUGAACUAUUGAUGUUGAAAGCAGAGUUACAUGAUACUCACAUAUGUGUAACCACAUAGCAGAUCCCUAUUUUUUGGAUAAUCUUAUUAUAUUUCUAUUUUCUUUGUGGGCUUGCUAGCAAUGAUGCUGGUGUUGGAUACAAAUGCUAAAAUUUUUUUUGAAUGUUUUGGUACCUAGUUUUUAUCGAACGUCCUAUAUGUAUUGUCAUCGUGCUUUAAUAUACUUACAUAACACUUACCCUCUAGUUACAGAGUAGUUACAUAGCAGUUACACCCUAGUUACAGAGUAGUUACAUUAUGUAAAAUUAGGAACUACAUUUUUUUUUCAUGAGCAUGCAUACUAGAAGCAUGCGUACUAGCUUGUACUAGUGUGGAACCGUUUUCCUGUAACGGUUGAUGACAGACCCUGUGGUUAAAAAAUUUGAAAGUUUUGAACCUCUGUCGACAACUCACUAGCCAGUCCCUAAAUUAAUGAGCGCAUACCUUACCUUUAUAAGUACUUUCAAAGUAGUUAUUGAUGUUUCUGUAAAUGCAAGUAUUUAUGGCAAGUAUAAGAUUUGAACAUGGCUGGGCAGGUCCAUCACAAGAAUUUUUUAAAAAACAGCGUUCAUCUGGAUUUCGGAAGAAUGGAAUUCACAAACUGCUAGAUGAAAUCCGAGGUACUAGUAAUUUGGAGUUGUACUAGCUACUUCAGGGUGUGUCAGGGUGUGUUUAGUUCACGUUAAAAUUAAAAUUUUGGUUGAAAUUGGAACGACGUGACGCAAAAGUUAGAAGUUUAUAUGUGUAGGAAAAUUUUGAUGUGAUGGAAAAGUUGGAAGUUUGAAAAAAAAAGUUUGGAACUAAACUCGGCCUCAGCACUAUUGGAGUUGUGAGUACUGAGUUGUUUGUAAAAUAUAACAUUUAUUCUUUGUGAAAUCCCAUAUUUUCCACCACAAAAUCGAUCAGAAUUCAGAGCAGACGAUCGAAGCAGCCUCAAGCAUCCACGGCGCACCGGGGGUACUCGAGAAGCGGCACGUCGCCGCCGCCGCCGCCGCCGGCCACCGCGGCCUCCGUGCUCAGCCCGACGACGACGUUGCACCGCACGUACAGGUCGCGCCACCCGCUCCUGAACGGCCCGCUCCUGUACUUGACCCUGCCCAUGACGACGAGCCGGAGCUGCACCCGCCGCGCCGCGCAGUCCGCCGCCAGCGCGCGCGCCGCGUCGGGCGACACCGGCACGGCCGCACCGCCGAGCAGCGGCGACAUCGCCACGUCCGCGCCGCGGUCCUGCGCCACGGGCGGGAGCGGCGCCGGCGGCAUGACCGGCUCCCCGCGGUACGACGCGUAGGCGACGAGGCCGUCGUAGAGCAGCGACGCCCUGUCGCUGGGGUUGUGGAGCACCAGCGUGAACUGCACGCUCGCGGCGAGCGCGUGCGCGGAGGAGGAGGCGUUGGCGAGGGCGAGGCGGUACACGGCGGCGCGCGGCACGGACGCCUGCGGCAUCACGGGGCGGUAGACGAGGUACAGCACGAGCGCGGCGGCGGCGGCGGCGGCGAGCGCGGCCACGGCGAGGGCCGCCGUGGCGAGGUGGCGGAAGCGGCGAGCCCGGUGGUGGGCCUCGCAGAACCGCGCCUUCCUGGAGACGUCCAUCGACACGACGAUGCCAGCUAUGUCCCGACCUCGUCUCGGCGUCCUCCUCCUUUCCACCUCGCGUAUUAUUCCGCGUCGUCACGUCACGCACGCGAGGCGGCGCCGCGGAGGAGGAAGCCAUGUGGAUGGAUGGAUCGCGAAUUCGGGAGCAGUUUGGAAAAGCGGCCGCGCGCGCGAGCUCGGACAAAACGGGGUGGUGGCUCGCGCGCGCGGCGGUAGAAAGAAGAAGCCAAUAGGCGCUGCGGCUGCUGUGACGCUGGCUGCGGCGUUGCGGGCGGAGUACUGAGCUGGAAACCUGGGAAAGAGAAGCUGGCAGGGACGUUUGCAUGCAUUGAAACGUAAGCAUGUGUGACGAAACGUGGUGAGUACUUUGGGAAGAACAGACGAUGGAUGAUGGGAUCUGCUGAAGUAAUGGAGGCUUCACUGGAAUACCACUGGAUGCAAUUACUGGUCUAUUUUUUUCACACAUUUGAAAUAUUAAACGUAGACUAAUAAUAAAACAAAUUAUAAAUUCUACCUGUAAACUGCGAGAUGAAUUUAUUAAGCAUAAUUAAUACGUCAUUAGCAAAUGUUUACUGUACCAUCACAUUAUCAAAUCAUGGCGCAAUUAAGCUCAAAAGAUUCGUCUCGCAAUUUACAUGCAAACUGUGCAAUUGGUUUUUUUCGUCCACAUUUAAUGCUCCAUGCAUGUGUCCAAAUAUUUGAUGUGAUAUUUUUGGCAAAAAAAUUUUGGUUCUUAAGAGCAGGUACAAUAGCAGGCUAUAAGCCAGCUGCAAAUAUAUUUUAAGGAGUUAAAUAAGGAGAGAGAAGUGCAGCGGGCUAUAGAUUUGUAGCCAGCUGUAGCACGGACUCCAAGACGCAGUGUGUGUAUGACAUGUAGGACCAGGUAUUAAUAGUGUAGUAUGUAACUAUUGUAUGAAUGAGCUAUUAGAUUGACUAUAGAUGAAUUGGAGUUAGUAGUUAGCUGUACUAUUGAACUUGCUCUAACACACCCUGCGUUAGUUACCUCCGUUCCCAACUUCUCUCCCUCGUUUUUCGCGCACACGCUUUUCAAACUUCUAAACCGUACGUUUUUUGCAAAAAAAAAAUAUAUACGAAAGUUGUUUAAAAAAUCAUAUUAAUCCAUUUUUGGAAAAAAAAAGCAAAUAUUUAAUUAAUCACCCGCUAAUCGCUGCUCUGUUUUCCGUGCCAGGGAGUGAGGGUUCCUGAACGAAGCAGAACAGUCCAUUAGGCGGAAAACGAGAGAGAUGAGUUGGAAAACCUAGGGUAAGAACACAGCCUUAAAAAGCAAACUCUCAUGUCGUGUGCCCCCCGCCUAGGCGAGACGACAGUUUACCACAUCUCUACUACUUAAAAAAUAAGAGGUGCUUCCAUCGUCCGUCAAAAAAAUAGAGUGAAAAAACCGGACGAAAAAAAUCUGUCCGAUCCAAAACAAAACGGACGAAAAUAAACCGGAUGAAAAAAGAAAAGAAAAAUCAAAUCUGUCAUAUAAAAAAAGGGCGCAAUAAAGGAAAAGAAAAACGAAUCCGAUUCCACGGUAAAAAAAAAGGGAGAAAAGAAAUUAAAAAAGGAAUCUAUCCGAUUCUAAAAAACGGGCGCAAAAAAACAGGCGAAAAAAAAAUCAGGUGAAAAAAAAGAUCGGCCAAAAAAAACGAAUCAGAUUUCGUUGGCGCGGUAAGAAAAGAGCAAAAAAAAAACAAAUCUGUCCGAUUCUAAAAAAAAGGAAUUAUAUGUGACGCGGUAAAAAAAAUCGAAUCCUAUUAUAUUUGACACGAUACUAUAUAUCUCUAUCUUCUCUAUCUCUACUACUUAAAAAAUUAAAAACGUUUCCGUUGUCCGUAAUAACAAAAAAGAAGGGCGAAAAAAACAUUAAAAAAAAGUUUGAUUCAAUUUACUUCCGUCAUGCGUAAAAAUCGUAUCUUAUCUUAAUCUCAAUCUUUCCGAGGGGAAAAAAAGAAAGAAAUUAAAGAAAGGGAUAAACUAGAUUGAUGUUCCCAAAAUUAAAAGAGGAUAAACGAUAUUGAAACUCCCCUAACUCGAAAAGAAGGAAUAAAAUAGAUUUAAAUUUCCCGACAAAAUUCUCCAAAUUCGAAGAACCCUAAUUUCGGGUAAGAACCAUAAGAGUCAAAAUCCAAAUCAAUUAAGCUAAAGGUUCGGGUUACUUAUCGGACUUGAAACCCAUGAGCACACCGGAGCUUUCCAGGAAGCGGCACCGCCGCACCUUCACCUCCUCGCAGUCGUGUCGGGUUCCCUGCGCGCUGUCCUGGAGCACCCCGCCACCAUCCUUUGCCGAAGACGGGAAGCGUCGGCUUGGCGUUGCCCCUACCGCCGACGAGGUCCAGGCCGCUCGGUGCUCGUCGCCGUUUGCACGCCUACCUAGCCAGACCGCGGACGUCGUGGCACGGCUUUGCGUCGCCCUCGGGUGCGCCCCCAGCCGGCGAAGCAAGAGCCGCUCGGCGGUCGUCGCCGUACGCACGCACCAGCUUGCCGGACCGCCGUCGUUCCGCUGGCUCGUCGUCGAAGAGAAAUGGGAUCAGGAGAGAGCGAUUUGGGAGCUAGGGUUUUGCCCCUCUCUCCCGGUCGGUGCUUCAUCCGAGGCAGGGACGAUUGGAGCCGUCCAUUAGAUCGGACGGCUCAGAUUCGCCUAGCGUCAGGCCGUCGCCGCCGUUGAUUACGCUGCGCCUAAUGGGCCGCGGAAGUGCAUCGGACCGUCCCCGCAUAUGUGGGCCACGCUCAGCUGCUCAGCUUGCGGGCCGUCGAAUUGAUGACUCAACUCGCCGAAGAUGGGCAAGCCCAAGUUUGGGCUAGCUUGGGAAGACCUAUGCCGAAAGCAAAUUUGAUCAAACAAUGUGGCUCACAUUUUUCAAAUUAAAGUCUGUCGGAUAAACUCCUAGGUAGGCUCGAAAAAUAAAUCUAAAACUAAAUCCUAAAUCCUAUGCUAAUUGAUCAAAUUAGACUCGGUUCUACUUAUUUGUUAAUAUACCAAAUUAGACUUGAUUUUUACAGAUUUGAGGUUUUCAAGGUGUCACACUAUCAAACGAUGUUUUUCCGUUGCAACGCACGGGCACUAUUGCUAGUCAUAAAAAGAUUAAAAAAAAGGAAGCCGGCAGCAUUUGUAGAAGUUUGAAAAAAAAUAUUUUAAUAGAUGAUUUGGAAUCACCUGUACAUUUCGACAAUGCUACUGAAGUAGUGGCGUUAAUGCCAAUGGGCUGUAGUCCACGGGAAAUGAAGCAAGCUUGGCCCACAAAAGAUUUGGACUAGUCAAAUUAUUGGGCCUAUUGUUGCCAUCCCAAAGGGAAGGAAAUUCAACACUCAACGUCAUCCUUUCUGCCGGGUGUUCCAGACUUCCAGUGAAAUUUAACUGCCCACGGUAAAAUUUGGAACUGGCCAAUUACCAAAUAUCAUAGGAAAAUUUUGAACUUUUUACCAGUAGCUAGCCGGAAUACUUGUAAAUUCAACUUUAAAAUAUGUAGUACUAAAUUUACAACUUCUCGACCAGCAGGCGUCCAUAACGAUUUGGUACGACGUGCAUUAACCGAGCCAAAAUGAGGAGCAAUACCAAUUUUCAUCCUGUUAAAACGUACACAUUUCACAAAAGAACACAUCUUCGGAAGCAUCACAAGCUUUACUGAAAGUAUGAAACUACACCAACGAUGUUCAGUGUAAGAAACUGUACAAAAGAACUUUGUCUUUGGAUAUCCUUGACACCUUACAUCCACACACGUCCAGCUUACACGUUAACUGUUGGCUAGAUACAAUUUAGAAAACAUAAAUACGUGUGCUACAUGAUAAACGCAGCUUAUCUAGAUCUGAAGCAAAAUAUGAUCCCUACUGACAAACUCUACAAUGUACGAGGUCCAUGGCCUAACCUAGCACACGAAGUUAGCCUGUAUAUAUAUGCAACACCACCAUACACUGCUGACUGUAGGUCAGGGCAAUCAUACUUUCACUCUUCAAACAAAAUCUGACACUGACCACCAGGAUAACCGUGGCACAGCAAUCUCCUGAAGUUUGGACAGCCCUAGCUCCCUUGGACACCAUGAUCUUGCCGAACAAACUGACCCUUAACCCGCGGUCGCUGCUCGGCUAGUAGCUUCCUGCUCUGGUAUCGCACCUGCACAGCAAUGUAAAAAUGUAAACCACAGUUUCUACUAUUCAGCAAUACAACAAAUUGGAUUGGAAUAAAAUGGCAAGAUUAGUUGCUUGUGACCUACCUUCUUCUCAAAGCACCUGUCUUUCCUCUUAAGCCGGAACUUGUUCAGUGCAGCCUCUCGUUGGCUCAGGUGGCGUAAACCAUCAGGAUUUUCAGGAACAACAUUUGAUGAUUCAGUAGGGGCAAUCAUGUGGUUGGAAGAGCUGUCACAGACACUGCCACUGAGCGUUUUUCUGGCGCUGUCCAGCACAGUGCUGCUCCCACUUUCACCGGUGGUUGGAGAAACAUGCCGCGGCUCAUCUGUAGGAAUUUCAAUGCGGAGAUGUUUCCGAUUAGCACUUAGAUGACUCCGAGCAGUUUGUUCCUCUACAUUUUCAACCUGCUUAGUAUCCGUAUCUUUUGGACCAUUCUGCUGCAGAGAAAUUGCUUGUGUGGUUGCGUCUUGCCAGGUAGAUGUUUUGCUAUUCCAAAUGGGAGGAGCUGAUUGUGGAUAGAAAAGGGAUGCCACAGGUGCACCGUUCCAGAAUGGCUGCCCAUCAAAUGUUAGUCCUCCAACAGGAACAGGAAAUGGUACAACUCUAAUGGGAGGUUGGUUUGUUUCCCUCUUGUCUUGAGAGGGAGUUUUGGAAUCUCCAUUUUUGUUUUCAAGAUCUAUAUGUGUUGCCGAGGUGCUGCAUGCCUGAGCAUCACCAGCAUUAAUGGUAGAUGAUGCUGUCCUGCAGUUGUACCUAUGAACAAGAAAUGAUCGGAAGUGUGAGAUCUCAUAUGUUGGCUCUUGGUAAAACUGUGUAAAGGAGCAAGUUAACCAGUAAGUUAGAUUAUCUAAAUGCACAAAAAGAGAGAUCAUACAAAAAUUUCUGCUACUUCCAUAUUAUUUCAUGUUUUAUUCUAUGCUUGCAAGACCAUACUGUAGCAAAUCAAAGUAAAAUAUGUCUACGCAUGAUGGUAGGUAAAUAAAUGAUGAAAUAUCAAAGACGAUAUUUUUUUUCUGUUAUACCAGUAGGAAAAAUACAUCAACGCGAACAUAACAACCAUGCACAAAUUAGGAAUGACAGAAUAAACGUUACAGUAAGAAACACUUACAAGGAAAAUGGAGAUGAAGUUGAGUGGUUCAGUGUUCUUCGUUCAUUUUUCUCCUGGCUCUCUAAUCUACUGUAGUCAGAUCUUCUGAGAGAAAGUUCUAACUGGUGUGCUGGAAUGGAAAAGCACUUGUCAUCAUUUCCACGGGAAUUUGCUCUCGCAACAUCCAUCUCCAUAUGUGUGUUAUUCUUCUGCUGAUUGUCAAUAAUAUGAACCAGCUCCAUAUCCCUGGAAGCUUUCUCACAAUUAAUAUCAUUUGAACAUGUCAUCCUCCUCAGUGAUGCAUCCUCUUCCCUCCGUGGAAUCAAGUUGCCAUCAUUAGAUGCUGCAAAACGAGGAGGAGGUAAUAUCAGGAAAAAAAAUGCAUUCAAAAGAUAAUUGAUGAUAUGACCACUUUCAGUGUAGAAGAAUGAUAUGGAAAUAACAGAGAAAAGAAUGAAGGAUGUUUUAUUACCAUGAAUUUUAGUCCCUCCAUUUUUCUCGGUGUUCUUGUGGUCAGGCUUGGAGAAAUGCCUUCCCAUUGGCUGCUUAUAUUCCAGUAAAUUGUUGGUUUGCCUACUGUCAGCCUCCAGUUCUGACCUUGUACAUGAACUCUGCAAGAGGGGAUCCAAAAUUCAGUCCACGAACAACAGCGAACAGAUCUGAACUCAGCAUAAUAACGACAGUCCCUACUGCUAAGGAUAUAAAGACUAUGCAGUAUGAUGUCUUGAAGACAAUAACAUGCUACAGAUUCAGUUCAAGUGUGUAACAUCAAAUAUCCAGUACUUGAAACAAACAAGUAUUCCGUAAUAGGCUUUAUCAAACUGUUCGUGUGGACCGUAUUCUGAUCCUGCAAGCAGCCAAAAAAACUUACCUUACUGUUGUCAUAUGUACUCCAUUUUGCAAUACCCAAGAGGACCGAACUGUGACAUUUCGCUGACAAGAAAAUACUAUUCUCACUCAAAACACAGUUCCAUUACCCACCUGACUUGAAAAAUUGAUAAAUUAGUUCACCAACAUUGAUGCAGAUCUGAAGGGCUAAAUACAUCUUUUGCAUGAAGUAAUACCAUUUUUAUCGUGUGGGUAAUGAAACUGCUUUUGGCCAAAACAUCAGGUGAUGGAAGUGUUACAGUUCGGUCAUAGCUGGGCAAUGCAAAAUGAUACAGCACAAAUCCCAUACGUGGCUAAUGAUUGAAAUUUUGUACGCAAGACUAUCUUUGGGCACACAUGAGCAGGAAGAAGAAAGAACAGGUAGACAACGUCAUGUUAACUGAUUCUAAAACUUACUUGAGCAUCACUUUCUUGUUCACUGCAUUCCAUGUUCUUGUGGACAACAUUUUCAGUCACAUGUUCAGCUUUCGUCACUCCGGUCUUCUGCUCAUGCCUUUCUGUAAGAUUAUCUUCUUGUUGAGUAUGCUGCACAUCAAGAACACCGCUGGACUGUAAAACAGAGUAAUUGAAGUUUGUUGAUUAGUUUUGUGAAAAAUGCAGAAUCCAAAUUUUAAUAUAUAAAAACGAGAAAGCAAAUGUAGUCAUGCUAAAACGUUGCAAAUAUGUGAUCUUACCAGUUGUUUUCUCCAAACAUGCUGCCAUAAGUUCCUUAAUUCAUUCUUCCGUAUUGGCUUAACAAGGAAAUCUGCAGCACCCUUUAGCAUGCAUUUGAAAACCAUGCUAACGGAAUCAUUUGAAGACAUCACUGAGACCAAUAGAAAAAUGAAGCAUCAGAUGGAGUAAUGGGAUUAGAAAGAUAUGAGAAAGGCAUGGCAUAGAGUCAAGUUGGAUACAUACUUAUGACGGGGAUAUUCUUGCAUGCGUCAUGUUCCAUGAUCGUGGAGAGCAGCAGGAACCCAGACAUCAAGGGAAGUUCAACUUCAGUUAAAACAAGGUCUAUAUUGAAAGAUUUUUCCUUUAGUAUGUCCCACGCUUUCACACCAUCAGAGGCUGCGGCAACUGCAAGACCAAAUAUGUUGCAUAAGAUCGACGAAAAACACAAUAGUAUAAUUUAACCAAGAUCCCAGAGAAUACGCGAACAAACCAAGAGAUCAAAAAAGAAGGAACGUGCCUAAAUAACUGUACUUUAAAAUAAAUUUGCUUUUUUUUUGUUUUAAAAGAGGAAACUGCAUUUUUCAGCUCUAACUCUGUCCCAAAAAAGGAUCAAAUAUACAGGUAAACAUUUUGCUUCAGGAAAAAAACAAAUAUACAUGUGUAGUUAUUUCAAUUUAACACAAGAUACGAAAUGGAUCGUUAAAAUACAGCUAUAUUUUUUUCGAAAAAAAAAUGAUAUUCGGUAAUGCCUCAACUUAGGUAUUCCUGACGAAUAGGCUGCACUACACCAAAUUUCGUCUACUGAAGCAGCUCUGGCAAAAUAAAGAAAAAGAGACAGAUAGCAAGGAAUUACAACUACAGACCAAAAUCAGCAUAUUGAUUAACAUAUCUUCUGAAAAAAAAAACAGAUCACAAAUCGUCACAUCCCAAAUCUCCCCACUUGAGGUCUAAUCCAGUAAAAUCAGCUGCCACGUAGUAACAGUUUUACAGCGCAGAAACAUCCGCAACUUUGCAACUUCACUAGUGAGAUUAGCCACUCGUGACAACAAUUCGAGCAAAAAACAAUGAACAAAAGCAGUCAACCAAUUUAACCGGAUCAAAAACAAACUGUGCGGCACAGACGCUCACCUCGAUACCCGCACUUGCGGAGCAGCGCGCAGAUGAUGUGGCGCGUGGAGUCGUCGCCCUCAGCGAGCAGCACCCGCACCGGCAUCCUCGGCAGCAUCCGCGUCUCCCUGCUCGACCCCGCCGCCACCGCCGCCGCAUCCUCCCCUUCCUCCCCGUCCCCGUCCUCCAAGUCCACCACCUUCCUCUCCUCCACUCCACCCCCCAUUCCCCCGCCGCUAGCUCCGCCCCUCGCCCCUCCUCGCCGGAGUCGCCCGCGGCGGUAACUACCCUUUCACCGCGCAAGGCGCAACCACCUCUCCUCCUCCUCUCUCUCUCUCCUCGAGCUCGCCACUAGGAAAAUGGAUUGGUUCGUGGGUUCGCGAAAACCAAAUGCCAGUGUGGGCGACACGACAAAGCCGAAGCGGGGGGAGGAGGCGUGUGUAUAUACCCCCACACCACCACACAGGCAACUCCCCGUCACCGACACGUGGGCCAGUCAACCAGAGGGACCCACCCGCCAGUGGGCGAGCGAGGCGAGGCGGUGGCGGGUGGGGGUGGGAGCACGUGAGCGAGCUCCGCGCACGAAAUAUCUGUACUACACUCGACCGGUGGGCGGGGCCGCCACGUCACGCGCGCGGGCUGGGCCCCACGUUGACGUGGCGUGCGCGGCGUCAGUGGUUGGGAUAUUUCCGUUUCCCCCGCGAGAUCGCGACGAGGAGCCGAGGGCUCUCGAGGCCGAUAUUUUCUCUCGCGGGAGGGACACGUGGUAGGCCCGGAGGAAAAGGGGACCAAUCUUGCGGCCGCGCGGGACGACACGUGGCGGGUGGCGAGGCUAGGGGAUUGUGGGGGAGAUCGUGUGGCUGGGGAUGGGCGCGUGGGCCUCCGCUUUGUUUAAUCGUGCGGCUGGGGAUGGGCGGGGUGGGCCCGGGUGUAGCGGUGCGAGUUUUUUUUUUUUUUUGGGGGGUGGGCUAGUGGUUGGCGUUUCGUGCGGUCCACGAUAAUAUCUGGGCGGGUGGGGACUCGUGGUGGAGGAUAAUUAGCGUGGAUUAAGUAUGGUUUAAGGGCGGUGGAAUGGAAUGGGUUUAGUGUGGGUUGGAAAUAUCUAAUUGACUCAUUUGACAACCUUUGACACCGUGAGCGAGCCCGUGACGGAUGUGAAGAUAUUUGUCAGGAGGAUUCUGGAAGCGUUAGGUUUCCUCCUUAUAAUUAAUCAUACAAGUUGCAAAGCAAAAAAUAUUCGCUAAAUUUUAUGAUUCCUUAUCACCCACAUAUUAAUAGUACUAAUAUAGUGUUGUGGUAAUUGGCAAAAUUACGUAGCUUGUCAUAUUAAGUUGUCGGUACUCAGUAGUAAUAUUGUGAAUGCAUGCUUUUUAUUUUUUUUAGGGAAAAUUGUGAAUACAAACUAAAGAGUGGUUGUUUGUUGAGAUGGGCAGACGGGGUGCAAAAAAGAAUGGACGAGGUUGAUUCGACCAAGUGUUGGCCUACAUCAACCAUCCGUGUGUCUGUGUCCUCCAUGGCUCCAUGCACCAUCAACACCCACACACACCCACACACACGCAAAAAAGAGGUAGUACACUAGUAGUACUACUCCAUAUAGGAGUAGCACACUAGUAGCACUAGUGAAAACAACUUUUCGAACAAGCCGAACAAUAUACACUCGCCCGAAGAAUAUCCAAAUUCCGCCAACACACAUCCUGCGCCACGAGGUCCGAUUCGAUCCACGUCGAAUAAUGCCGCAGCUGUACUCCACUUACACAUUGUUAAGCUACAAUUACCACAAACAGUACAGUAAUACUACAUAUAGUAGUAGUACGUAACAUUGGCUCUGUCCGCUAGAUAUUUCCAGGCUCCAACCGACGAAGAGACGAGGAGUCUUAUCGGUUGUCCAUAUUUUCUAAUAAAUUAUUUUGAUUUAUUAUAAAAAAAUAAUAUAUAAUUAAAAGUUUUAUAUAUUUGUUCAUAACGACGUAAAAGGUAACGUUAAAAAAAUUACAUUGAAAAUAUUUUAAAAUCAAGUUUGAAAAUUAAAAUUUUAGCUUUUAUUUUGAUUUAUUAGAGCAAGUUUAAUAGUAUAGCCAGCUACUAGCUCCAAUUCAUUUAUAGCCAAUCUAAUAGCUCAUUCAUAUAAUACUUACAUACUGCCCUAUUAAUACAUGGUCCCACCUAUCAUAUACACACUGCGUCUUGGAGUCUAUAUUACAGCUGGCUAUAAAUCUGCAGCCCACUACCCUUCACUCUUCUUAUUUAUCUUCUUAAAAUAUAUUUGCAGCUGGCUUAUAAGCUGCUAUUUACCUGCUCUUAGGAUAACCGAUGGAGCUAGAGACAAGUGGCGGCGACCGCAUGCCGUGGAUAAUCCACGGGCCAUUGGCCGUUUCGUUGCAAUGAUGCUGCCUCGUUGCCGAGAGGAGGAGACAGAUAGACCGGCUCGCGUCGCGGCUGUUUUGUGUGGUGGUAGUCGUCGGUGGUGGGGUCGGCGGGUCUCGCUCGCUUCCGAAACAACCCACUUGGCGUGGCCGGGCGUGGCCGGCCGCCCCAUGUUUCUGAGCCUCCAAGGUAGGACUCGAUCGAUCGAUCUCACGGGAACCAAACUGACCGGAUGACAUGGCACGCCAUCUCGCUAAAUAUCUUGACGGACUAACAACGCUCGCCGUUGGAUGCAUGGUAGUAGCAAACUAGUUAGCUGCUACCAGCCAUCUUUUAUUCUUUUUGGUUGUUAUCGGCAUAAUUUUUUUUAAUGUCUAGUAAUAUCAAAAAUAGGCUAAAUGCAUUGUUGCAAAAAAAGUAUUACUGAUAUUUGUAACAAAUUAAAUGCAUUCGUAUAUUUGUCAAUUUUAUCUUAAAAAUGGUAUGGUCCAAAAUGACAUCAACUGAACAGGUUGUUGGCCAAAAUUUAAAUUUUAAGUUUUAAUUUUGUAAUUGAUUUUUAAGUUUUUUUUGUUACAGGUUAUUUUUUAUAAUGAUUUUUCAAAUUAAUAUAUUAUUUAUAAAUUGUUUUUCGAAUCUCUAAUAAGUAUUACGGCUUAUUUUUUUUGAAAGGACAGUAUUACGGCUUAUUAACAAAGCGAAAUGACUUGCCACAAAGUUGCAAGCAACAAUAUCGCAAUAUUCGUGGGGCACUAGCUACAGUACAGUAGUUAUAAAUGGACAGAUGGGGGGUCGAGUUCACGUGGCGCGGCAUGGCGCGGCAUAAACCUGUCUACGAAUUUGAUGACCUUCUUGUUGUUGCUGCUAGAGAAGUCAUGCAUCUAGGAUAGUACUGGAUGCAGAGAUAUUUUGAAACUGUGUGCGCCUCUGCUUUUCGUCGCUGGGGUCGCCGAUUCGGGCGGUGGAUCGAUGACUGGUUGACGGUUGGGUGCUGUAGCUAUAACUUGGGAGGGCAAAAUGGUGGAUUAAUUGGAUGGCUAGUUUUUCUCCUUGUGGAUGGGGGCUGGACCGCUGGAACGCUGGAUGGAUGGACCAAACAUAUGGCCAAGCACGCGCGCGUGCGACACGCUCGACGACGGCCGCACGAUCCGCUAGUGGCCGCGGUCCGCGAUGGUGGCGCACGGACCGCCCGUGCAAAUCGCCGGGAAAUAUCUUCGCGAGCAGAGAGAUAUUUUCGCCUUGAUCUCGAUUACGCACCCCGAUCUUUUUUAUGGUCGAUCUCCAGGCUGUCUCUCAGUCUCUCGCGUGUUAAUUUGGAGUGAGUACGUGUAAAGCCAUUUUUUUCCGCGCUAUGGCCAGGCUCGCAGCGGACGUCCACAUCCACAGCCUCGAUCGCGAUUCGCGCAGCAUGGGUUGUGUUUGGUUGGUUUUGCAAGGGUGGCAUGUGCCGUGCUAGAAUCGGACAUUCCGCAAUGAGACCGACGAGAGGGAGAUCGCUCGAUCGAUCGAUCAGUGAAAGGUGCUUUAGCUAGCAUAGCAAGCGAUAGCUAAGCAGGCACAGUGGUUGCCCGACCGGUUCGGCGAGAUACUACUGUACAAGUGGAUGAUCGAUCGAGCAGCUCGCGGGCGAGACGAAGCUCGCGGGCGAGACGAACGACAAGUGAAGCGGCCGUGGCCACUAGCUGUAGCUUUUACUAGCUCGUUCUCUUCGUGAUCUCUUUGGGUGGAUCGAUUGAAACGUGGGGACGGAGGAAGGUCCCCAUCGUUUUCUCUAAUAUAGCAUUGCUAAAUUUUGUUUUUUUAGACUUAAUUUUAGUUUUUUUAUCGAGAUUUAUUUUUUAAUAAUGGUAUACAAGUCGCUAGGUACGUAUAUAUAAAAAUCUACCUACAAAAUUAUUAUUAUUAUUACUAAUACGUUGAAUGACGUAUGUGAUGAGGACGGAGAAUGCUGUGUUGUUGGAGGAAGUGUGGUGUGGUUGCUCCACGCGUGCACCGGGCGUUCUCCUUUCUCCGGUGAUACGUAUACACCCAACUAGGAGGCAAAAAUAUCUUUGCUAGGUCUGCGUGGCUGCAGUUGACAAGUCCUAGAUUUUUUCGAAAUAUCUUCUCGAUCGGUCUACAGUUCUGUGGGUGGGGACAGCUUCCUAGAUAUCCGGCAGAGCACUACUACUAUUAUCCUACCUGAUGCAACCAUCUGGCUGCUGGCCACAUAUACUCGGGUGUACAUGCGUGUGGUUAUGGAUCGAUAUAAUCAUUUCAGGAUCACUCAUCAGUUAAGGUUAGUGGUGUGUUGCCGCGGGCUAUUAGAAUUUAGAACUUAGAACUUAUAAACACUUCAAUGAAUGACUGUCACAGUUCGAUGAUGUGACUAUAUAUGGCCGUGUUCCUCCCUCAUUAAGAUGUAGAUUAUACCUUAGAUUUUGUCACCAUGUUUUUUAACUGCUAAACAACGUGCUUGGUACGAAAAACUUUCUAUACAAAAGUUAUAUAAUAUAAAAUAAUUUUUAAGUAUGUAAUAAUUAAAACUUGAUAUUUUUACUAGUUAAUAAUUAAAACUCGAGUAAUCAUGCGUUAAUGGUUUUAUCGUUUUACGUGUGCACUUAAACUUCAUUCUUAUUGCACACCACUUAUAUAUGAAAUCUCAUUUUUAAUAAUUAAUAUUGACUGAAUUACAACUAUAUAAAAAUAGAAAAUAUGUGCCGCUCUAGCUGAUUUUCUUAUGUGAUCAAUCAUAAAAUUCAGAUAUAAGAUACCAUAUGAUGUCUUGAAAAAGAUAUUACGAACUCUCACCUGUACGCUAUCUCCUGAACAAACAUAAAUUCUGUUCAAAUGUGUGUUUUGAGACUAUUUGAAGCCAGCAGCAUCACUCCAUGUUCUCUCUUCCUACUCUCCAUACUUGGGAAGUUGGGUUGAAGUGUGAGGCCGGGAAGAAUUCAAGACAUCAUGGUCCACAGCCCAUAUGAAUGGCCCGAGACAACAAGUAGCCUACUAACUAUUAGGCUCCACUUUGGGCCAAGCCCAUGUUUUGUUGGGCCGGAGCCUACACCAGUACACCACCAUCUUCCUCGUUCGGUUCCCAUCUCCCAGUUCGAGCCCACGCCAUCACGGCCGCGCCGAUGCUCCCGUCGCCACCGGCGCCGCCGCCGAUCUCGCCGGCGCGGCUGCACAAGCUCGUGACCUCCCAGCCGGACCCGCUCCUCGCGCUCGAGCUCGUCACCGUCACCGCGCCGACCACCGCGCCCCACCCGUCGACGCUCCACGCGCUCGCGCUCCGCCUCUCCCGCCGCCGCGAACACCUCCCCCACGCGCUCGCGCUCCUGCGCCGCCUCCCGUCGCCGCCCUCCCCGCGGAUCCUCCUCCCGCUGCUCCUCUCCGCGCUCCGCCUCCGCCGGCAGCCUCACCUCUUCCUCUCCACCUUCAACUCCCUCUUCGUCUCCGGCUCCAGCCCGUUGCCGCUCCACCCCGAGCUUCUCCUCCGCCUCCUCUCCGUUCUCUCUUCCACCGCUUCCUACUUCCCGUGCGCGCUGCACCUCCUCCGCGACGUCUCCACCCGCCUUCCCCUCCCCGAGCCGCUCGUCCUCGCCUCGCACAACCUGCUCAUCGAAGCCGCCGCCCGCUCCGGCCACCUCGCCGUGUCAAUCUCCCUCUUCCAUCGCCUCCGCUCCCUCCAUGUGUCUCCCAACGCCGAGACAUACCGCAUCCUGACCCAGUCACUAUGCCGCAGGGGCCAGGUCCGCACUGCAGCCAACCUGCUCGACGAAAUGCUCCACAGGGGCAUCCCUGCUGACCCACUGGCAUACACCACCGUGCUGAACGCGCUCUGCCGUAAGAAGCAGCUUCGAGAGGCUUACCGCUUGCUGUGCCUCAUGCGAGGCCGUGAGGUCUCACCUGACAUUGUACAUUACAACACGGUCAUCGUCGGAAUGUGCCGUGAGGGACGGCCACUGGAUGCCUGCAAGGUGUUCAGAGAUAUGAGGGAGAGUGGGUGCGCGCCAAAUGCGGUGGCAUAUACUGCGGUGGUCAAUAGGUUGUGUGUGAGUGGAUUAUAUGACAAGGCAGAGGCAUACCUUGAUGAUAUGUUGGGCAAAGGGUUACUACCACAUUUCUCUGUGUUCCAUUCAGUGAUUAAGGGAUGCUGUGCAGUUGGGAAGGUCAAUGAGGCUGCAGGGAUGAUGACUCGAAUGCUUGAUCUUGGAAUGGUUCCACAUGCUGAGACCUGGAGUUCAGUGAUCAGGAGUGUUUGUAGUGAUGAGGAUAAUGUCGAGGUGGUUUUGUUGCAAGUGAUGAAAGGAAUAAAGCACCUCUCAAACAUAAAUUCAAGGAGUACUUGGACAUGAUAUCAUGUGGCAUGGAUGCAAGGAACACCUAUUUUAUGGUGUGUUGUAACAAUCAGUUUUGAAAGGAAACAGUAGAUGAUGUGCAAAAUGUGGACCACAACCAUUUUUCUCAUCGUAUGCAGCUAAUUUGAUAUUUGAGUUUAUUUGUUUAUAUGCAGGUUAGGAGAUAUUGUCUGACUUCAACUAAGGUAUGCUAUCCUAUUGCAAGAAAAAAAAAGUUAUCGCCCUUAAUUAAUGUGAUUCAUAUGAUUGUUUUGGUAGUACAUUUUGAAGGUUGAUUCUGAAUUUCUGAUGCUUGUUAGUUAAAGACCAUACUUUGUUCUACUCUGAAUCCAGUUGAUCAUUUAUACUUUUUCUUAUGCCUCUUCAAUUGUGUGCAUUCGCAGAUCUUAUAAUCUGCCAAAGCCCAAAGAUUUUGGUUCACCUUGGUUCAUGUUUUCUGGAUUUUGUUAGACCCCAGUUCUGUGUACUUUGUGGAAACUAUAAUGUUUUGGCAGCAGGAGCUGACUCAGCUGAGUGAAGGAUCAGCAAUUCAGCAUGGAGAUCAUCUCACGGCAAAUAUGGGAAGCUCACUGGACGUUGGCUGAAUUCCAACUGCUGUUGUCAAGGUGCAUCUGAUCUUCUCACGACAAGCAUACACUAUACAUAUCGUUGCAGGUGCAGACAAAGGUUUUACGACUAUUUGAUUUCCUGAUACAACGCGGCAAAGCUGCUGGGAUCUGGAUGGUUCACUCGCACGGCUUGCUACAUUUUUGUGCACCCACUGACCUCGUCGUACUUGCCGUGCCCGGUGGUAUCCUCUCCCUGUGACUGCAUAGGUAGUGCGGUACUGCCUCAGAGAGUUUUGUGUGCUGAAGUAGAGAAAUUUUUGUAAUUCUAUUUUCACUGGGUGAUGUACCUUUCAAGAAUUCAAAAUUACCAGCGAUUACCGGUAACAGUGGCCAUGCUAUGUACUAUGAGUCUAUCUUGUAUAGACUUAGAACAAGCCCCCCUUCAUUCAGGAGAUAAAAAAAUGAUGGAUUCUUGAGAUUUUAGAUUUAAAAAAUGAUUAUGUACACGUAUUGGAAAUGCAAACGUGUAAUCGUAUUGUACUGAUUAUGUAAUGCCAUACGGUGUCCAUUGACAUUUGCUUAUUCACUCUGGACUACUCGUUUCGUGCUGAAUCAUUUGCGCCUAAUUGAUUAGGCCAUGUCUAAAUUUUGAUACAAAUUCCUGCUAAUUUCAGAAGAGAAAAAAAAAGUGGUCAUGAAUAGGGUUUACCAAACCGAAGUGGUCAUGAAUAGGGUUUACCAAACCGUUUUCAGUGGGUUACUAUCCUCGCUCGAUUUGACGGUUAUCACAGUAACUACCGUGGUUUAAAACUGAAAUAUUUACCGCACGUGAUAGCCGGGCGAUAACCGUGCGGUUUGUAUGCGUUUCCUCCUGCGGCUCUGUUUCGUUGCGGGGGAGCCCCACCGGCCCACGGCGCGGGAUCACCGCCGCCACAGAAACCUCCAUAGAGAUCUCCGAGCAGCCGUCCUCCGCCACAACUUUCGCCAUGGUGGCGCCCUAGCCCCGCGCUUCUUAUCCCGCCCCACCUAUGGCUGCUGCUGCUGCCGCUGCCGCCGCCACACUCCUCCCAUGGCUCUCCUCGCGCUCCGCCUCGGCCACCACCACCACCACCUCGGCCUCUCCGCCCCGCGCGACCCCCGCCUCCUCCUCCGCCGGAGGCUCGUGGUCGCCAGCUCCGGUGCCGUGAAGGCCCCCGCGGCCGCGGCGGUCGUGUGGUUCAAGCAUGACCUCCGCGUCGACGACCACCCGGGCCUCGCCGCCGCGGUGGCUGCCGAGCCGCGCCGGCCCGUCCUGCCGCUCUACGUCUUCGACCGCCGCAUCCUCGACGGUACGCUGCUACUACUGCGCUUGCUAGCCCCUUGCAGCAAAUGUCUCACUGAGCCACUGGUUUUGGAAUGCCCGGGGGCUGUGGGAAGUGUGUGCGAUGUGUUCGACACAAUGUCUUACGGAUCGCGCGGUGGUUUGAUCGGACGCUUGCACUUUGGUGUUUACUGUGUACUGUCUCUCGCGUGCCCGGUAACCUGGCUACGUUUUUUUUUUUUGCUACGUUUGUGCAAAAUCUAGUGACUUUGAUGCCAGGAUUCGUGGUUUUGUAGAAAUGUGCAGUAAACCGAAGUCGUAGGUUUUUUGGCUGCCGAAUCAAAGUGUAAGCUGUGGAUUGGUUGUAGUGCGGGAUGAUACUUUCUGGUUCUGCUAAUUCAGAAAUUCCCUAGCAUAAAAGUGAAACAUAUGGUUUGCCUUAAAAUAGACGCUAGUAAAUGGAGAGAACAACUGCUUUUCAGUCCCAACUUCUUGAGGAGACCUGCACCUCCACUAUCUGGUAUGUGCCAGAUCAUGAAGGUUUUGAUUGGAAUGGACGAGAUCAAGGGUGUGUUUUAUCAAGUCAUGCUGUGGAAAUGGGUAUCAGAAUCUGAUGUUAACAUUCAUAUACAAGUAACAGCGUGCAAAGUUAUACUGUAAUCUGUAUUAUGCAGUGCAAGAAUCCCAAGUAAUCACACUGACAGUUGGCAUUGACAUUAGCCUUUUUAUCCUUUGCAGGUUACUCAGACACGAUGCUGGAACUGCUACUUUUUGCUUUGGAAGAUCUUAAGAUGGUUUUGAAGUCUCAGGAGUCUGAUCUUCUCAUAGGCUUGGGAAAUGCUGAAGAUGUUGUUCUCAAGCUUGUAAAUGAGGUCACUAUGCAAGGUUUAUGUUGAGAAUUGAGCUUAAGAGUUUAUGCAAACCUUCACUGCUAGCCAUCUAACAUAUCCAGAUCUCCUGAUUGCAUGCAUUGAUGGAGCAUAACAGGUACAAGCGGGCCUCAUUUUCACAGAAGAGGAAGUUGAGUACAGAGUGCGCAAUGUUCUGGCCAGUGUUGAAUCAUCUCUCUCUAAUGCAUCAUUCCUAUCGGGAAACCCUCCUGAGAUAGUGGUUUGGAGUGCCUCAUUGUAUGACUACAAGGUAAUUUUGUAUCUCAGGUUAUCAUUCCCUAUUGCUAUCCUCUAGCAACCUAAUUAUGUUUGGCAUGCUAAAAUCAUUCCACCAGAAUCCGAGGGAAUUGUCAACAUCACACAACCAAUUUUUGAAGGAAAAAUUACCGAUGAACACACCUCUUGCUGCCCCGUCUUUACCUGCUCUGAACAUAGAGAUAGAGACAGGUGUAUUUCAGUUCUCUUUUUUUUUUGGUUAGUGAUUAUAUCCUUGAUCAUUUUUGGUGUGUGCAUUAUGAUACCAUGACAAUUUCCUGUUCAGGUUCUCUCCCCACACUGGAAGAACUAAAAGGGUUUCUUAAAGAGAGUAGAACGUCAGAGAAUAAUUGGGUUCCUCUCAAGGGCACAUCAGCCAGAUCUAUUCUUAAAAAGACUCUCAGCCAGAUAAAUGUCAAAACCGGUGUUGCAUCAAGUGGCAGCGAUGGAGGAGAGGAUACCACUGCAUAUUAUGCUAUGUCAGGGAGGAAGAUCCAAAAUUCAAUGUUCACAUCAGAAAGCUCAACAGAAGUUAGAGGUGGAACGGAAAUCACUUUGGAUGCUUUAGCUGCAUACCUGAAAUACCUAGAAGGAACAGGGAAGGCUAGUUGGCAAGAGUACGUCGCACCACUUCUUUUUAAAAUCUAAUUACAUUCAGCACUAUUGGUAUGUUUGUAACUUUGUAUUUGAAAAUGUUGCCUAGCUCAUAAGGUAAAUGCAGUCUAUGAUGUCAUAUCAGUCAUCAAUGAUUUUUCUGAUAACAGGCUUUGUUUAAAUUUCAUAUCCAGGUUGCAUGAUAAAGUACGGUUAACUGAAACUAGAGAUGGUGCCUCGUUUUGCACUUUGUUUGGUCCUGCACUUCAGCUUGGAGUUAUAUCCAAGAGGAGAGUUUACCAUGAAACUAUUCAGUAUGAGAGAGACCGGAAUGCUGGAUUUAUAUCACCAUUUGGAUACUCAACACCUACAGUGACAGCAGCAGUAGAUGCUAUCUGUUCAAUGGAGGUACUUUUGUAACUGUCCUGUUCUCAAAACCAUUCGUCCAUACCUUUUCCUCCUCUUUUCGGUGAUCUUGUUUUCCUCUAACAAUGUCUUUCUGAACAUGAAAGUGGUAUUGGCUCUUGGCCUUGAAAUCCCAAGUAUGCAUUGAAGGAAAUUACCCUGUCAGAAUCUGGAGAUGGAAAGGUCAUCUUAUACAGGUACUAUUAGUUAACUUCAAGAUCCACACUCUCUAUCUCUACUGCAUCAGAAACCAUAACUUAUCUAUGUAACAGGAAUCAUGUCAAAUGCAAGUAGUCCUAGAAUUGGAUAUAAUUACAAUCAGCAAUGUUAGUCGUUAAAAUGAAUUGUGAUGGCUUGGUCAACCACUAAAAAGGACCAAUGUAUUAUCCUCUGAACUAUUCAUCUUUGCACUUGGAUCCUUCCACCUUCUGGUUGCCGAUACAGACCCCUAGAUAGGUAAGCAUAAAACAUUUUCUUCUAUCCCAUAUUAGUAUCUCUGAAACUAACUAGGAUUUCAGCUGAACCAUUUAAAAGUUCCAUCCAGCAGGGCAGCAGCUCUUCUUCCAAGCCCAUAUUUUUUACUGUAGAAAGUUGGAAAAUCUUGUGUCCCGGUUCCCAUGUUUUUGUUUUAUUUGAUUGCCAGGCCUUGACAAAGUUCUGCUUUGUAUGGACUGUAUAUCGGUAUUAGCGUUGUGUUUCUAUAUAAUUAACACAGUUUUUGUUGUUAGUCUAUUGCAUGAAUGCUAUCAAAUAUCAAUAUACACAACACCUAAUAUGCUAGUAUAGACCCCUGUUUCUGAUGACAUCAUAUUGUUUUUAUGAUUUUUUUAGUUCUAUGUAAUGCAUCAUGUAUUCAAUGUACUUGUUUUCCGCUUCCUGUAUUUCCUGUGCAGCUAAGUUCCUAAUUUAAUUGUUUUGAAACAUGUAUUGGCAGUAUACCUCUGUUGGUCAUGAGGGUCCUUCGGUUCUUCUUGUGCAUGGAUUUGGAGCUUCCCUACAGCAUUUUCGUGAUAAUAUAGGUGCCAUUGCUGAUCAGGGAUGCCAAGUUUGGGCAAUUACCCUUCUUGGCUUCGGGAAAUCAGAGAAACCAAAUAUCAACUAUUCAGAACUUUUAUGGUCGGAAUUACUGAGAGACUUCAUUGUUGAUGUUGUGAAGGAGCCUGUUCAUCUUGUUGGUAACUCAAUCGGAGGUAUAUUUUGAUUUAUAAAUCUUUCGACGUUUCUGGGGGUGAUGGGCAACACAUCGUUUACCCAAAACAACCUUAAUUAAUUCAUUUCUUCAUAAUAUUGUCAGGUUAUAUCUGUUCUAUUACUGCCAGCUUAUGGCCUUCUCUUGCAAGGUCUCUGAUCCUUUUGAAUACAGCUGGUUCAGUUGUGCCAAGUUACUCUUUUAUUCCAUUAAGUGAAGUAAGGCGACCAGCAUUCACUGAAACUGUUCUACAUUUGAAUUAUUUUAGCUAGUACAUCUUAUCUGAAUGAUACUCAUAGGUCAAAGACUUACUAAUAUUGCAUUAGUAACAGUGGCACUGGUUAGUGGCUAUAUGCUUGUUAUAAAAAAAAUGAGUGGAAAUAUUGUAUCUUAUUAAAUGUCUGAGGCAUUGUAUUCACAUGGGCUCUUUCUCAUACAUUUUCGUGUUACUUUAGACUUAGGACGAUUGAAAAUAUGCACACUAAAAUCUCAGCAGUUCUUUUUGGCUAACCUAGCGCAAGCUCCUCUCUUGUAGAAACUGUUGUAUCAUUCAAAUGCAAUGUGCAUGUUAUUUCUAGUUUGUUGGAAUUAUUAAAGCAUUUAAAACUCUGAAUAGUAGCAUAGAUAAGGCUAACAAUUUAAUGUUUCAGAUACAUAUCUUUUGUGCUUAUAUCAACCAGUGUUUGUGGAAUGAUAAUCUGACAGCAGCAAAAAUAAAUCGUACUAUUUAGGAUCGAAUUUUUAGCACUGGAACUAUAUUACUUCCGCUACAAAUUAACUCAAUGCUACUGAAUGAAAAAUACAAACAGGAAGGACGGACUUCAUGGCUUUCCAGUUUGCAGGCACGCCUCCUUCUGCUCUUCUUGAGGUCAAGAGCAGGAGGCAUUCUUAAGGAAUACUAUCCUACAGUACGUGUAUGAUGUGGUUAUUGCUUCCUCAAAUAUUUAAAUAAUACAUGGUUACUAAGCAAUACCGAAAAAUUCCUGUGCAGAGAACUGAACGGGUUGACAAGCCACUUGUGGAUGAGAUAAUAAGAGCUGUAUCCUCAGAUCACAAAGUAUAUUUAUCAUAGACUUAACCGUUGAUAUAUGCAGUAUAGCCUGCAAUUCUUUUUCCUUGACAGACAAAUUCAGUCAUAUGAUCCUGGCGCAGCAACCGUUAUUGAGAGCAUAUUCAGUUUCAAUCUUUCCAUUCCUCUCAACUUUUUAUUUGAUUCUUUUGGUGGAAAAAUCUUAAUUGUUCAGGUAUUUUCUGAUAUAAAAAAAUGGUGUGGAUUCAUACCGGUACCUAAUUUAGUUACUGCAACAUGCGGAUAGCUAAUACUACCUUCAUGUGCUUUUUUUGGGGAAACAAGGGAAUGAAAGAUCCACUUACAAAAUCCAAGUCAUUUGUUUCCAUGCUUAGGGAGCAUUGCAGCAAGGUCCAUAUUAGAGAGCUAGAUGCAGGUGAAUCUCUCUCUCUCUCCUGUGCGCAAGUUCUCAUUCAUGAACGUCUUCAGGGGUUAGGGGUUACUGAUGUUAGUUUUUUUCUUCUCAUACUGAAAUGUGUCAGGUCAUGCUCCACAUGAUGAAGUUCCUGAUGAAGUGAACUCCUUGCUGUGCGAAUGGAUCAAAGAGACUGGCGCUUAGCCAGCAAUGGAGUUCCAUCCUACUUAGAUGUCUGGUAACCUUAUCCAUUAACUGACUUCUCGAUUAUACUAACUUGAUCGUUGGAAGCAUUUUUUUCUAAGAACUUGAUCCCAAUGUGCCCGUUGACACUUCUGUACUUUUUUUGCUUCAUGUCUUAGGUGGCAAAAAGGAGAUGAAUAUUGAACACUGUACAGAAUUGUAUGUGUAGAUUACUUAUUUACUCUUAAUCUUCAUAUCAUUUUCUGGAAUUUCAAAAUGAAAUGCAAUAUAUGUUGAAUGAAAGGAAAAACAGCAUCGAGCAGGUUUGAUAGCAAGUCGGCACAAGAAGAUGAGAUGCAAUUCGCACUCCUGAUGAACUUUCUGGUGGUUCUUAAAGCUGUUUUUGUUUAUGGACCUAGCUCAAAAUCAACCUUGAACCCUACAUUACAAGAGUUGUCUAAAUCUAAUCAUACAAACUUUUGACCCCAUCGUGCAAGUAAUGUCUAAUCGUGCCACAUUUGUACUCUCUUGUAGUCUUGUUUUAUAUGGCUCGACAUAGAUAGAAGUACAAAAUGAACUAAUAUUUCAUGCCAAUUGGGUGCAUUCUUUCAUCUGUUCCAAAUUGUUUUUCAAGCCAGUGGCUAACACCCUACUAAACUAUUCUCCAGCAAAAUGAAUUAAUAUAACUUUCCAUCGAAGGAAUUUCUUUAGAUGUAUUCUUGAUGGUGAGGCCAUGGAAUCCUGAGUGCCUCGCUUGGGUUAAAUUUUUGGGUGUAGUAGGGGUUCAAUAAACGCUGAACUGGAGUGCAUGCAUUCUGGUGUAUGUUCUUCAGUUUUUUUUUUGAGGGUAGUCAUGUCAAAUUUUCUGGCUAAAAAUGAUGUGUGGUUUGAGAUAUUGCCGAGUUCCUUUGAGCUUCUUUCUUUUCCCAAUUUGUAUACCAUAACAAACUCCAUAGUUUUCACUGUACUGCCUGUUUGGACUCGUAAUGUGCUGUGGAAUUGUAGGAACAGUUUAAAACUCGUGGGCUACUAGCUAAUAUGUUCGGGUAUUUUACUUUUAUUUUCCCUCUUAUAGUAUAGCGAAUGCAACCGAAUCUUUUUUUCAAAAAUGUAUUUCACUUUUCUUUGAAUCAAAUCAAUCCAUCUCUUUUCCUUGUGAUCAGAUUUCUUGUGCUAUUGAAGCCUCUAAAUGCACACACAACACACCGUGUCAAACUUAAACGAAAUCCUGUUUAGCUACACAUACAAAAACAUCCUCCUUAGCAAUAGCAUGGUUUAAUCUCAUCAUCCUGAGUAUGCAUUACAUCAGUGCUGCGUACAAGUUCGAUUCAACGCAAGCUGCCAAUCACCAGAGCCUUUGGAAAGGCCAUGAAACGGCCCUGUCAGUUUGAUUAAUCGAUUAAUAUGAUAUUUUAAAUAACUUUCAUAUAGAUUUUGAAAUAACAAUUUAAAAAUCGUGCACGCGGAACAUGAGGAAGAUGUGUUAAUACAGGCUGCCGAACUAAGCCUAAUAUGUAAAUUAUACCUUAGAUUUUGUUACCACAUUUUUUUUAACUACUAAACAAUGUGCUUUGUACGGAAACUUUCUAUAUAAAAGUUAUAAAAUAUAAAAUAAUUUUUAAGUAUAUAAUAAUUAAAACUUGAUAUUUUUACUAGUUAAUAAUUAAAACUCAAGUAAUCAUGCGUUAAUGGUUUUAUCGUUUUACGUGUGUACACCACUUAUAUAUGAAAGCUCAUUUUUAAUAAUUAAUAUUGAGUGAAUUACAACUAUAUAAUAAUAGAAAAUAUGUGCCGCUCUAGCUGAUUUUCUUAUGUGAUCAAUCAAAUUCAGAUACCAUAUGAUGUCUUGAAAAAGAUAUUACGAACUCUCACCUGUACGCUAUCUCCCGAACAAACAUAAAUUCUGUGUAAAAUGGGUGUUUUGAAAGUUGAAACUAUUUGAAGCCAGCAUCACUAUUCACUCCAUGUUCUCUCUUCCUACUCUCCAUGAGCAAGUUUAAUAGUAUAGCCAACUGCUAGCUCCAAAUCAUCUAUAGCCAAUUUAAUAGCUAAUUUAUACAAUAGUUGCUUACUAUAGAAUUAAUGCAUGAUCCCACCUAUCAUACACACAUUAUGUAAUAGUUGCUUACUAUACAAUUAAUGCAUGAUCCCACCUAUCAUACACACAUUAUGUAAUAGUUGCUUACUAUACAAUUAAUGCAUGAUCCCACCUAUCAUACACACAUUAUGUCUUGGAGGUUGUGCUGCAACUGGCUACAGAUAUAUAGCUCGCUGUUCUUCUCUCUUAUCUUUUAUCUCUUUAAAAUAUAUUUAUAGGUGACUGAUAGUCUGCUAUUGUACUUGCUCUAAUUGGGUAGUUGGGUUGAAGUGCGAGGCCGCAAAGAAUUCAAGACAUGGUCCAGAGCCCAUAUGAAUGGCCCGAGAGAACAAGUAGCCCUCCUAACUAUAAGGCUCCACUUUGGGGCCAAGCCCAUGUUUUGUUGGGCCAAAGCCUACGCCAGUACACGAUCAUCUUCAUCGUUCGGUCCCCGUCUCCCAGUUCGAGCCCACGCCAUCACGGCCUCGCCGAUGCUCCCGUCGCCACCGGCGCCGCCGCCGAUCUCGCCGGCGCGGCUGCACAAGCUCGUGACCUCCCAGUCGGACCCGCUCCUCGCGCUCGAGCUAGUCACCGUCACCGCGCCGACCACCGCGCCCCACCCGUCGACGCUCCACGCGCUCGCGCUCCGCCUCUCCCGCCGCCGCGAACACCUCCCCCACGCGCUCGCGCUCCUGCGCCGCCUCCCGUCGCCGCCCUCCCCGCGGAUCCUCCUCCCGCUGCUCCUCUCCGCGCUCCGCCUCCGCCGGCAGCCUCACCUCUUCCUCUCCACCUUCAACUCCCUCUUCGUCUCCGGCCCCAGCCCGUUGCCGCUCCACCCCGAGCUUCUCCUCCGCCUCCUCUCCGUUCUCUCCUCCACCGCUUCCUACUUCCCGUGCGCGCUACACCUCCUCCGCGACGUCUCCACCCGCCUUCCCCUCCCCGAGCCGCUCGUCCUCGCCUCGCACAACCUGCUCAUCGAAGCCGCCACCCGCUCCGGCCACCUCGCCGUGUCAAUCUCCCUCUUCCAUCGCCUCCGCUCCCUCCAUGUGUCUCCCAACGCCGAGACAUACCGCAUCCUGACCCAGUCACUCUGCCGCAGGGGCCAGGUCCACACUGCGGCCACCCUGCUCGACGAAAUGCUCCACAGGGGCAUCCCUGCUGACCCACUGGCAUACACCACCGUGCUGAAUGCGCUCUGCCGUAAGAAGCAGCUUCGAGAGGCUUACCGCUUGCUGUGCCUCAUGCGAGGCCGUGGGGUCUCACCUGACAUUGUACAUUACAACACGGUCAUCGUCGGAGUGUGUCGUGAGGGACGGCCACUGGAUGCCUGCAAGGUGUUCGGAGAUAUGAGGGAGAGUGGGUGCGCGCCAAAUGCGGUGACAUAUACUGCGGUGGUGAAUGGGUUGUGUGUGAAUGGAUUAUAUGACAAGGCAGAGGCAUACCUUGAUGAUAUGUUGGGCAAAGGGUUACUACCACAUUUCUCUGUGUUACAUUCAGUGAUUAAGGGAUGCUGUGCAGUUGGGAAGGUUAAUGAGGCUGCAGGGAUGAUGACUCGAAUGCUUGAUCUUGGGAUGGUUCCACAUGCUGAGACCUGGAGUUCAGUGAUCAGGAGUGUUUGUAGUGAUGAGGAUAAUGUCGAGGUGGUUUUGUUGCAAGUGAUGAAAGGAAUAAAGCACCGCUCAAACAUAAAUUCAAGGAGUACCUGGACAUGAUAUCAUGUGGCAUGGAUGCAAGGAACACCUAUUUUCUGGUGUGUUGUAACAAUCAGUUUUGAAAGAAAACAGUAGAUGAUGUGCAAAAUGUGGACCGCAACCAUUUUUCUCAUCGUAUGCAGCUAAUUUGAUAUUUGAGUUUAUUUGUUUAUAUGCAGGUUAGGAGAUAUUGUUUGACUUCAACUAAGGUACACUAUCCUGUUUCAAGAAAAAAAAAAGCUAUUGCCCUUAAUUAAGCAUGUAGCGCUAUUGAUAUUGAGUUCUAGCACUGUUUUGGUAGUACAUUUUGUAUGUAGAUUCUGAAUUUCUGAUGCUUGUUAGUUAAAACCAUACUCUGUUCUAGUAGUAAUUUUCAAAUACAUUUACUCUGAAUCGAGUAGAUCAUUUACUUUUUCUUAUGCCUCUUCAAUUGUGCUUUCCUGUAGCUGCAACGGCAGCACCCAGAUUCUGCAUUCGCAGAUCUUAUAAUCUGCCAAAGCCCAAAGCUUUGAUGCCAGGAUUCGUGGUUUUGUAGAAAUGUGCAGUAAAAACCGAAGUCGUGGUUUUUUCGGCUGCCGAAUCAAAGCGUAAGCUGUGGAUUGGUUGUAGUGCGGGAUGGUACUUUCUGGUUCUGCUGAUUCAGAAAAGUGAAACAUAUGGUUUGCCUUAAAAUAGACGCUAGUAAAUGGAAAGAACAACUGCCUUUCAGUCCCAACUUCUUGAGGAGACCUGCACCUUUACUUAUGUGGUAUGUGUCAGAUCAUGAAGGUUUUAAUUGGAAGGGAUGAGAUCGAGGUGUGUUUUAUCAAGUUAUGCUGUGGAAAUGGGUAUUAGAAUCUGGUGUUAACAUUCAUAUACAAGUAACAUCGUGCGAAAUUAUACUGUAAUCUGUAUUAUGUAGUGCAAGAAUCGCAAGUAAUCACACUGGCAGUUGGCUUUAACAUUAGCCUUUUUAUCCUUUGCAGGUUACUCAGACACGAUGCUGGAACUGCUACUUUUUGCUUUGGAAGAUCUUAAGAUGGUUUUGAAGUCUCAGGAGUCUGAUCUUCUCAUAGGCUUGGGAAAUGCUGAAGAUGUUGUUCUCAAGCUUGUAAAUGAGGUCACUAUGCAAGGUUUAUGUUGAGAAUUGAGCUUAAGAGUUUAUGCAAACCUUCACUGCUAGCCAUCUAACAUAUCCAGAUCUCCUGAUUGCAUGCAUUGAUGGAGCAUAACAGGUACAAGCGGGCCUCAUUUUCACAGAAGAGGAAGUUGAGUACAGAGUGCGCAAUGUUCUGGCCAGUGUUGAAUCAUCUCUCUCUAAUGCAUCAUACCUAUCGGGAAACCCUCCUGAGAUAGUGGUUUGGAGUGCCUCAUUGUAUGACUACAAGGUAAUUUUUUAUCUCAGGUUAUCAUUCCCUAUUGCUAUCCUCUAGCAACCUAAUUAUGUUUGGCAUGCUAAAAUCAUUCCACCAGAAUCCGAGGGAAUUGUCAACAUCACACAACCAAUUUUUGAAGGAAAAAUUACCGAUGAACACACCUCUUGCUGCCCCGUCUUUACCUGCUCUGAACAUAGAGAUAGAGACAGGUGUAUUUCAGUUCUCUUUUUUUUUUUGGUUAGUGAUUAUAUCCUUGAUCAUUUUUGGUGUGUGCAUUGUGAUACUUGUGGGCUACUAGCUAAUAUGUUCAGGUAUUUUACUUUUCUUUUUUCCUUCUUGUAGUAUAGCGAAGGCAACCGAAUAUAUUUUUUUUUUCAAAAAUGUAUUUCACUUUUCUUUGAAUCAAAUCAAUCCAUCUCUUUUCCUUGUGAUCAGAUUUCUUGUGCUAUUGAUGCCUCUAAACGCACACACAACACAGUGUCAAACUUAAACGAAAUCCUCUUUAGCUACACAUACAAAAACAUCCUCCUUAGCAAUAGCAUGGUUUAAUCUCAUCAUCCUGAGUAUGCAUUACAUCAGUGCUGCGUACAAGUUCGAUUCAACGCAAGCUGCCAAUCACCAGAGCCUUUGGAAAGGCCAUGAAACGGCCCUGUCAGUUUGGUCACCUUCUCCCCUCAAAAAGAACUGAAGCAUUAGCACUCCAUGACAGCAACUGAAGCAUUAAGCACACCAUGACAGCAAUCUGGCCCCCCCUGUUCUGUCUAGAGUGACAUCCUUUCAUGACAGUCACUCAUCAUACAUGCUGGAGUAUGUACUUAUCUAGCAUCCUUUAGCUUUGAUGAUGUAUGUAGAGCCAACCUUCUGAGUGACUUUGCAUGAUAACAAAGCAGCAUAAGUACUUAGAACCAGCAUCAGCCAUUGGUAUUAGUACCUCUUGCCCAUUAUUACAUUUUGUUAUUCUUUAUUUGGUGGCCAUCUCAAAAAUGCUUAAGCAGAGUUCCCAUCAGUGAGGCCAUAAACAAAUUAAAGCUCUGAUUAGGAUUACCCAACCAACCCACCUUAUCUAAGCACAAGCUUUCUUUCACCAGGGCCUUGUCUUUGAGUCUCACCAAACCUGACAGUGACACAAGCAAUUAAUCCUGGCCUCUGAAAUAUGUCAAGUUGCAGAUGACACCAAUUCCUUUUGACAAGUUACUCCUUAUCAUCCCUUCUUCCUUCCUGCCCCCUAAUGAUAGGCUAAGGUCCUAUGCUCAGUAGAUUAUGUAUUAUGGAUUACCACACCACGCUUCCCGAACCCCUAAUGAACGGUACUAUAUGUUUUACAAAAACUUUCUUCAUCAACAGUUUUAAGAAAACCUUUUCAAAUCGACUUAUCAACCAAUAUUUACUUCAUUCAUUUGCAUCCUCAAAUAAUAUGAUCAUAAACUCAAUUUCAGUUUAUCAUCCAUCUUAUGCUAAGAACGCCCUUCAAGAGAUCGUUUACACAAGAGGAGUGAAAGAACAUGUAGUUAGUGAUUGCAGUGAGUAGCAAUCUAAGACCCUAGCUUCGAAUCUUCGUAGGAGCAAAUAUCAUAUUGGAUUGUUUGAGGGGCUAAAUUUUCAAUUUAAAUAACUGUGUAUAUUCGGUUGGAUUAGAGGCCGAAUAAAAAUUAACCAUCUCUAAAAAAAAUAUUUACAAAAGAGGUAAAAAGCAAGCUACUAAUUACUUGUUGCUAUCAAAUGGCCACCACUAGGAGUAGUACUAGUGUACUACUAGCCCUGUUGCUUGCUCUCUCUGCAAUCCUCCUCGGAUUUGUUAAUGAUUCUGUUCUUUUUUUUCAUUUCGCCCUUGUCAUGCCGUCUGAUCACGUGCUGUGAUGGAUGUUAACAAGCUAUUGCUCCUGGGCCACCAGCUCGAUUUUGGCUCUGCUAUCUGCUGCAUUCUCGCUGUCUCCUUCGUGACGCACUCGAUCCCCCUCUCGCCGGCUAGAUUUCUUGGGCAGUUGCUACGCUACCGCCUCGCUCGCCGACGUGUGUGCCGGGCAAAUCGAAAGGCAAGGAUCCCGGCGAGCGCACUCCCGGAUCGGAUGGUGAGAUCUCUCUGGGGCCUUUUUGCAGGGCACACUUGGCAUCUGCUUCUUCUGAUGCGGAUGUUUCUCAUGAUAUUGCGGUAGCUAGAUAUGCAAUUGAUAGUGCAGCGAUAAGGGGUGUAUAGUUUCAACAUCAAGGUCCUAUAUUUAAUUCCAACGCGCUCACAAUUUCUUCUUUAAAAAAAUGUUUGGAGGGACAUCUCUUCAAAUCUAGUUUUUUUGACGCAUACAUUUCUCAGGGUAAAUAUCGGUACCUCUUCUACUCUAUCUUCCAUAAACUAGCUACUUGCCUGUAAAUUCUAACAGGUCAGGCAUAUAUAAUGUAUGUUUGGCAGAGCUCCAACUUUUAAAUUUAGCUUCGGGAGACCAGCUCCACUUUCAUUUUGUGAAAGUGCUCCAACUAGCUCUACUCCCAUUUUAGGUAGAGUUGAAACUGUUUUACUGUGAGCUGGAGCUGUGCCGAACAGACCCAUAACCAGAGAGAAAAAGUUGUUACUUUUCAUGUACGGACGCUUAAGCACCUUGAGAUAGUAGAGAAUGACUUUGUUUUCAAGAAGUAGAGGUAUAAACAUUUCUAACGUUUAAAAUUUACAAUUCACCACCAACGCCAACAAAAUGGAUGGAAUCACUUGAAAGCUCACGAGUUACGGAGAGUACUGGACCGAUCCACCUAUAAAGCGCAGUUCCUCGGCUUCAUUAACACGAUCAUUUAGAAACCUUGCUACCCGCUUUGCCGAUACACCCUGGAAAGUAGAAACAUUCUUUUCACCUCGUCAUAUACACAAGGAGAAACUCAUGUGAGCAACUCAAGCUGACAACGUGAAAACACAACAAUGAUGGUCCACUAGUGGUGCUACUGGCCAAGGUAUAUUAAAAAAAGGGUCCGCGCUCUCAUCCUACUAACAGUAUAGGAAAUAUGGAAGGAGAAAAAACAUAGAGUGUUUUAACGCAAGGGGCUCUUGGCAAUAGCUAAUAGGUUGCCAAAAUCAAGGAGACUAACAUCCUCAUCUUUUUGCUAAGGCUUAUACUUAUCAACUAAAAUUUAAAAUUUAAAUCUUAAAUUUGAAGUUGAUUUUGGGUUUUUUUAUCGAAAUUUAUUUUUCAGCCUUUGCUUUUUAGAUAGUUAAGAACACGUAUAUAAAGGUUUUAUUCACAACUUAUUUUUUAUUUGCAAAUAUGCCGUUUGGCUUAUUCACCGAAUAAGCGAAACGAUUGGACUGUAUAACCUAGGACCUAGCAUGAGCAAAACGACUUCGGAGCUUUUUUUUUUUGAAAGGUUUCGGAGCUUAUUCUUUAGCUUUGUUCUACUUUUUUUAUAGUUCUCUUUCACACGUAUACAACUCUUCUUUUUCUCUUAUUAUAUUUAAAAGUAAAUUUCAUAAAACUUGAAGUAGUUUAAUCAAUCUAUCACAAAACUACAAAUUUUUAAUAACAUGUAUCACAAAACUACAGAUUUAACAUCAUAAUUUUUUUAUAUAAAAUUACAGAUUUAAGGUAUGAUAUAAAAAAACUACAGAUUUAACGUCACUUUUAUCACAAAAACUACAACUUCUAUAACACCAAUAGUGCUAAGAUAUAAACUCUAAACUAAAUCUAUAGUUUUGUGAUAUGAUGUUUUAAAUCUAUAGUUUGUGAUAAGUUUGGUGCUAAAUCUGUAGUUUUGUGAUACAUAUCUUUAAAUAUGUAGUUCUACGACAGUUUGAUCAAAGUAUAUGUAGUUUUGUAAAAUUUACUCUAUAUUUAAUUAAUGAAAUUGUCACGAUCUAGUACGGUUCGUUCAUUUGUUUUUAUUUCUAGCAUACUACUUCCCAAUCCAACCGGCCACUGUUCAUGAUUAUCUAUAUUUACAGAUGUAUUGCUAGGCACGAUUUUUUUUAAUCAAGUAAAUUUCUAGUGAAUAUCACCUUAAGUUUAAUUUUAAACUCCUAAAAGUGUAUAUAUCCGUGGAUGGAGGAAGUAGAUGCCUUCUCCUUGAACAAAUUGGAAGUGGUCGUAUUACUGCAUUCAAAGACAUGUGUUGAAUGUUCUAAAAAAAGACAUGUGUUGAAAUGUCAUAGGGCAAUUGUUGGAUGAGUUAGAAUAUAUUUAUUUAGCUCGAGUCUGAUUUGCUGAACAUAAUAAAUUAAUAAUUAAUAGACUUCUAAGAGUGACUUUAAAAAAUAAGGACAGUUGCUCCAAACUAGCCCUAGUUAAGUCAGAAGGGAAGAUGGAUAAGAUGCAGGUAAAUGUUCAUUUUUGGUAUAUCCUUUUGGCUUGUUCUGCAGAAGAUACAAGCAAGUACAUGUCACAGUAUUAGUUGGAAAUCAACAGGCUGGCUGUUGGAUUUGCAGAUUAACUUAAAAGAGACUGUCACUUGCGAAGUUGGUAUGACUGCAAUUGCCGCUCUUCGACCCUCUAAACGGAUGAUGAGGCAAAUGAAUGAUCCCGCGAAUAUAUCCUCUAACAUAAAGAAAAAAAAAACAGAUAAAGGCC